ACAUCAAAUUUGGUGUUAUUUUUACACUAAAUUUACCGUUUAGGUUGGAGAUGAAAACCUAAACGGAUCAGUAUAGGUGUACAACCUUCUAAAAAUAAAAAUCGGCUAUGUUUAUAAAUCGGUUUCUUUUCAUUUUACCAUAUAUUUUGCAACCUUCUUAAACUCAAAACCUACUUUGAUUGAUAACACAUAGAAAUACUAGAAUUUCGAUUCAUCCAAACCUCUCUCCAACACUAAAAGCAUAUGGUAUUCAACUGAGAAAAAACAGUUGGACGGUGUCGCAAUUAUUUACUUGACUCAAUAUGAGUCAUGACUAUAUGCCUUCUAAACGUAGAUUCUUCAGAAAAGUCAAUUCACCGCAGUAAGAUUUGGUGUUCAAAAUUCAUAAUAAGAAAAUUUAGUUUAGUUUUUUAUUUUAUUUUUUAAGCUAUGAAAAAUUAGUUUUUAAAUCAGGAAACUUUGGAAUAUAAAUAUAAAUAAAAAAGCCAUAGUUCAGAUUUUGUCUAUAUAUUUAAUAAAAGACAUAGUUCAGAUUUUAUUUAUAUUUUUAAUUACAUACAUGCAGAAGUCCUAAUGACCUUAGGAUAUGAUCUAUAGCCUGACUCGCAAUAACACACGCCACGCUAAAUUAAAAGUUUGAUACGAGCCGUGUGAACUAACUAUGAUUUAUUAUGACCACUAAAGUAUGAAAAUUAUGUUCCUUUCUAGCAAAUUUAAGCCGUUAAUCAUUCAAAAAAAAAAUUAAGCCGUAAAAUAGAAUGAAAAUAGCGUAGAAGAUAAUAAACGAAUAAUUGGCACGACGUUAAGCGUAACUUUACAUGGAAUGAUAGGGAGAAAAGUAGAUUUCACGUCAAUUAUUUAUAUUUUUUUCCUUUUUAUUUGCUUUGCUUUAGUGAUAAUUCACAUUAACUGGUAAUACACACCAUGUGAGAAAUGUUCAAAAAGGAACAGAGUAGGACAAGCUCGAAAGAUAAUUGUUUACCUGUCAUUUGUCUUGUCGCACUUUCUAAUUGUAUUUUGAGAACUCUAUUAUUAUUUUAUUAAAAACACUUAUCAUCUAAUUAGUCACUGUUAUAUUACCAAAAUUAGUUUAGUAAUAGACUAAUAGAAUAAGUCAAGGUAAUACGUCUUGUGCGCAAAAUUGAAAAUUCAAUCAAAAUGAUCUUUUCAAUUUAAAACGUCAGUCUCGUAAUUGUCUUUGUCCUACAAUUACAUUGCCACCAAAUGUAGUAGAUGUAAUGCAGGACAACUCGUUAAUAUUUUAUUUCUAUUUUACUUAUUUAAUUUUUAUAAUUCAACCACUAAUUACAACAAUAGAUUAUUCAAGUGAACGAAUCAAUUUAGAAUCAUUGAUUGAAAACUGCGAACGACACGGCCGGUUGAAACCUGAUCCACAAAUUGUCCCAAACAAUUAAUAUUUUGAACCAAUCUAUAAAAAUUAUUAAUGCCUUCGGGGGGAGACCAAUCAAUUUGAUUUCUCGUUUGAAUAAUGUAGAUCGGUUCAAAUUUCUUAGUUAAGAAAAUCAAUGAAAUUGGAUAAAAAUAAGAAACAAAUACUCCCUCCAGAUUUAUUUAGUUGUCGUUUUAAGGUUAUGCACACAGAUUAAGAAAAUAUUAAUUGUAUUAGUUUUUCAAUAUAAAAACAUCAUUAAUUAUUUAUUUAAACACAAUUUAACUAAUAAUAAAACAAAUUGCAUAAUAAAAAUAAUUAUAAAAAUUAAAAAACUAAUAAAUGUUACAUUAAAAACUGAAAACGACAAUUAAUUUAAAAUAAACAAAAUUUUCUAAAACGACAACUAAUAAAAAACGGAGGGAGUAAUAAUUUGUAACAAACUACAAAAUAAUGAUUAUAUAUAUAUAAUUUAGAUAACAAAUAAAUUUUUGUGUUCUUCAUCUUCAAUGAUGAUAAGAAAAUACGAAUAAAUUUAGGUUACUUCUUUUUUUAUGUGGGUAGCUUUGCAUCAUCCAUGUAUUACUCCAAUUAUUAAUUUUCAAUCGCUCUCAGUGCAAAAAGUAUGUAAAUAAAAAAGUAUUAACAGAAAAUAUCGAAUUGUUUUUCCUUUCUCUAAAGUACUGUCUAAUCAGUGACAAAAAAAUACAUAAGAUAGACGUUUAAAAAAAAUACACAAGAAAAAAAUAAAAAAAUUUAUGUGAUGCUCAACCCUAAAAUACUAAUGCAGGUGAUAUGUAUCUGAAAUUAGCAGCCUCUUAAAUUAAAAAAAAAUCUAGAUUUAAACAUUGAUAAAGACAAACUAACAUAUCAAACAAAAAACAAUUACACCACAACAAUCUAAAUCAAAUAAAAUAAAAAAGACUGAAAGAAGGUUGGCAAUAGGACCCACAAAACACACUGUCAGAAAAUCUUCAGAGUUUCAGAGAAGAAGAAGAAGAAAGAAAAAGAAGAAUCAAACAGUAGUAAAUCCCAGGAAUAUUAUAUUUUCUUACCAAAUCAAAAAACCUAUCUCUUCUUAUUCUUGUCUCUUCCAUUUCCAGAGAAUAUAGAUCCUAAACCAAACAUAUUCCCAGAAGGGACCAUGUUUAUAACCGGACUCACUCUAAUCCCUCCUCCAUGGCUUCCAUAACUGUAACCUCCGUAAUUUUUCUUCAAUGGCGGUUUCUGAAAGCUACUGUUACUCGAUGUAGAAGAAGAAGAUGAUGAUGAUGAUAAAGACGACGAUUGUUGUAGCUUUAUAUGCUCUGUUGUGUGUUUCCUCGAGCUCUGUUUCGGUUUACUCGACGUAGAACCGGUCGAAUUACUCCGGUUUAGUAACGGUAACGGACAUAGACUCCGUCCGUAACUACUUCCACAGUUUAAACUGCUGCUUCUCUUAAACCCCCAAAACGACUUCGUAUUGGGUUUCUCCUCCGUUACGGAGACGUCAUCGUCUUCUUCAACCGGUUUCCUCUGUUUCCUAAAAUCCGGUUUAGUCGGUUCGGUUGGACCGGUAUCGGGACCUUUCUGACCCGGAUUGCGUUUCUCGGGCGGUGGCGAUUCGGGUUUCUUCUUCUUCUUGAUUUCUGUUGGCAAGAUUUGUCCGUUACGGAAGAGUUCGUCGGCGGACCAAGAGCCUUGGUCGAAGCUUUCGGCGGAGUUUACGCCGCCGGGAAUGCAGAAAUCGAAAUCGAUGCUUGAAUUGAGACUGGACGGUUUCGAAUUCGACGAUCGUAAGGGACGUUUCUCGAUCGGAAUUGCAUCGGAUUGACAAAAGUCACGAGAAAAUGAGAUUCUUGGACUCAUAUUAGAAUUUUCCGAUAGAAGAUCCACCGCCAUUAUAGCAAAACGAACAAUUUCCGAAUUCUGAGAGAAAAGGAAGAGACUUUCUUGAAUAUUGAUAGAAAGAUAGAGAGACGUGGAGAGAUAUUUGGGGAAGAAGGUGAAGGUGGAACGAUAGGAAGGGUUAGAAUUUAAUUUAUAUUUUUUACAAGUGAAUUAAAUUUAAAUAAGUGUUUUGAUUUUGAUUUAAUAAAAUGGAAAAUAAAUAAAAAGAAUUUUCGGGUGAAAGAAAUUGAAAAAGUGAAAGGGAAGGAAUAAAUAAAGAAAUGCUAAUAGAAGAGGGGACAGAGAAGCGUGUCUCUUGCUACAUAUUCACAUGCAUGGGCCAAAAAAGGAUAUAUGUUGGUUCUUCACUUUGUACAAUUUUAUUUUCUAUGGUAUAAUUUUAUUUGAUGUAUAUCUUUUGAAAAUUCUUUUAAGAGAGGCUAUUUGGAUCAUUGAUCUGGGAAGAUAUGGAAUUUUUUAUAAAAUCCACUCUUAUUGGAUGUCCAAUAUUUCAAAAAGAUAAUGCAUUUCGGAAAUCUCUUCAUGUUAUAGGAUAUACCAUGUCAAAUUAUUUUACAAUAAUAUACAAUCUACCAUUAUUAUUUUGAAAGUUUAUAAACUAACAAAAAAAAAUCUAGGGUUAUUGAAUCAUUUCUAACUGUAAAUAAAGAGUCUGAAAUUUUUCAAAGAUUUGAAUAUAUGUACUUAUAGUUAUAUACUCAACCCCUUGAAAAUCUCUAGAAAAACUGACUUUUUUGGAGAUUUUUAGAAAUAAUAUUUCAAAUUUAUCAUUUUUUGUUGACUGAAUUAGGUUUACUGGGUACUAUAGAUGGGAGAUAUAGGUUUUUCCGACUCUGAUACAAUGAAAUAUAUUUUGAGACUAAAUUUUCUUUGAGUAUAUAUAGCUUCAAAAUAAGAAUGAUCAACUGAAGAUACCUUGAACAAAUGAAUGAAAAAAUGUAGUAUGUAUUUAUUUUUUAUGAUUCUCGAUGUUAACAAUGAUUUUGCUAAGUCUUUUGCGUAUGGGGAAGAUGCUUCUUUCAUCGAUCCUUCUGCUUUUAUAGCAUUCCAAAACUAAUUUCUCCGGUCAUUACAAGAAUUAAAUUCGUAUUAAUUCUUUCGAUUUAACCGUUCCCCUUUUUUAUUCUUCGGGCUUUGAACAAUUCUUGCUUUGCGAGGUAAUCAUCUUCUUUGUUUCUUUUGGUAUUUUUUUUUUUUAUUAGUCCACUGAAUUUGGAUGAUUUACUUUAAUUUAUUUGUGUAUUGUUCUCUCUAGGCUGUCAUGGAUCAGGUUCAUAGUGAAAUCCAACACUAAAAACAACGAUAUGAUCGAAAUUUUGAGAGCAGGUAGAAGAAUCUCUAAUAAUUUCAAAUAUAAAAUAAUCCACCAAAACUUUAACCUGGUUUGUAGCAAAUAAGUUUAGAGUGAGAUUAAUUCUCUAAUUGUGUGAGUUCACCACAGCCAAAAAAAACAAAAAAAAGAGCUACAUCCCCGUUAUGAACUUUUUUUCCUUCAGCAAAGGGGAAUCAAAUAAAAACGACUAACUUUUACAAAAAGAAAAAUACGGUUAAUACAAACACUACAAGAAAACAUUACAUAUUCCUACCAGAUAUUUCAUCAGAAAAUCGUAGGAAACCGGCUUUUCCUAUCAAUUUCCUACCAAAUAUUUUUGUAGGUUCUAUGCCGUCAGAAAUUUUCAAAGGUAGAAAAAUCGUAGGAAAUUUCCUACGAAAAUUUUGGUAGAAAAAUUUUGGCGGUAGGAUAUUCGUAAGGAAAAUACCUACCAAAUUACUUCCAUCUUUCUACGAAAUAUUCCUAUCAUUUUCCUACCACUUGAGAUUUUGUAAAAAAUAAAAUUAAUUUUAUAAAUUAAAAAAAUUAAAUUAAUUUCAGAAAUUAAAUUUAAACUAAAAGAUGAAUUAACUAUUAAUUCGAUUAUUAAUAUAUAUAUAUAUAUAUAAACAAAUUAAUUAAAAGAGAGAUGAAAAUCUUAUUUAUAGAAUAGCUUCAUCAUCCAAAUUGUCUCAGAUCAUCGAUGUGGGACAAAACCAAAGUUGAAAUGUUCCUACAAAAUUCCUACGAUUUUUUUACACAUAAUAUUUCGUCAGAAAUUAGUAGGAAAUUUCCUACGAAAUACUUACUAGUAUAAUGGUCAAUUGUAUCCUAUUACUUUCCUUUCAAAUUUUGACCGCGUGGUAAAUUAUUGGUAGAAAAUAUCCUACGAAAUUUCGACAUAAUUUUUGGUAGGAAAAUCCCUACCAAUUUCUUAUCACUUUUACUUUUUGUCAAAAUUACGUAGAAAAUUGGUUAUAAAAAUUUCUUACCAAAAAUUUCGUCAAAAUUUUCAUAGGAAUAUGAGAUGUUUUCUUGUAGUGAAACAAUUUAGCAGUACAAAUACUUGAAAUCUACAUAAACUUAGUCGGAUGUUAAAAACAAACAAGAAAAAUUUUUUAUGUAUAAUAUCUCAUACAAAAUACACUGCAUUUUUCUGAAAUGUCCUUCCAAAAUUGCACAUCGGUUUUUGAGUAAUUGGAGGAAAUAACAACAUGUUACUUACAUAAAAAAAUGUUUAGUUUUUGUCAUUUGACAAACUCGCUCUUGGUUUUUUUUAGCUCACAAAAAGAAAAUCAAAAGUUACAGAAAAUAUUUAGAUCGUAUCAAAACCCAAUCAAACCCAAAGUCAAUAAAAGUAAUCUAAAUCCAAUGAUAAGUCAAAAAACAUAUGUGCAAUGUUUGAAAUGUUUAGAGAGUCAACGUUGGGAUUCGUGUUGACUAAUGUGAUGAAGCAUUGAACAUAGACCAAUGGUGCCAAGUCACCGACCCGAGACUUUAACCAUACUAAAGUUUCGUCACGAACUCUAUCAAGUUAAAGAAGUGCAUUCACAUAUUUUAAACCAAAUCAAUGAUGCUUUUACUAUGGUGUACUAGGAAAUGCUACAUUUUAAAGUAUUCCUGAUGAACAAAUUUCAAACGAACACAUGUCUCGCUUCUACAUAUCCUUAUAUGUUGCUUGCGAUAACUAUAACCAAGUAAAAACAAAUAUAUUAGGUAAUCAGGUAUUCUAAAUGCUAGAAAGAUUAGUUGAAAUUUUAGCAAAAAAUGGUUAGAUGAUAGUAUAAUUCUUAUAAAGUAUAAGAAUAAUAAAAAGAAAAAACACGGUGGCAUUGUUGAUACUCCCCAAUCAAUACGAGCAGACACAUAUCAUAUAUAUAUCAAAAUUCAAGAAUAUAUAAGAUUUUAGGUUAGACCAUAACACAUAUGCGUUGUUAUCCACUUUUGUAAGUUGAAUAUGAAAUAUUUAUCUGGUAUCCUUUUACAAAAAAGAUUAAAAAAAAAAUGAAAUUCAUGUAUCUGAUCUAAGAUUUCGUUAUGUUUUUUUUUUUUCAUUGUCACGAUUGUAUCUUCAUUCCUUUUAAAUUUAGUGUCUACUUAGUUCCGUUGUAUACUUCUUAUACAUACCACUUGUAAAGCAGUGACAAAACCCUAAUUUCUAGUACUUAUAGUCGAAAGUAUACUUUUUCUUUUAAAACCAAAAAUUUCUGAGUCUAGACCCAUAAUAUUUUUGCCGGGAAUUAGACCAAGUUAAUUUAGUCUCUUUCCCACCGUCAAUUCUUUGAACCCAAAAAAAUGGGUUAGUUACCGAAGGCGGAUUAUAUUCAACAAUUAAUUCAAAUAUAGCUUCCUAUUUCAAGGAAAGAAAUAUUACUCAAAUAAAAUGAACUUCUGUGUAUUCUAACUAGAUGGGUCUUUAGUGAUAGAGAAGUCCAAACUCCUUCAUUUUAAUGAAUCAGACGAAUCAUAAGAGUUUGCUUUUAUAAAAAAAAAAAGAGCUUGCUUUUCAUCAAAAUAAAAAUCGAUUUUUGCUUAAAGUGAAAGUAAAGAAAUUGUUUGUGUGAUAGAAAGAAAAGAGAAAAGGAGAUUUCAUAUUAUCUAGAGAAUGAUAAGGAAAUUACAAAACAAUAUACACUUGUGAAUUAUAUAUGAAAACAGAAAAACAAAGUAAGCAUGGGCAUGGGUCCGAUGGCUACGUACUUACCGAAAACGAAGAAAGCCACUUAGAGAAACUGAAGGGUUGAUAAAUGGUCCACGUUUUCCCCUAAAUCCUUUCUUUUCAUAACCAUUGGGUCGCCCAUGAGCCCACCUAAAACCAACCCGACCCGAUUAGAUCCAACCAAGAAUUGUCUACUCUUCUUGAUCACUUUGCCUAUUUUGGCUGCUCUCGGUAAUAUUAACAAGAAGUUGUCCAAUUCGGUUAGGGUUUGGUUAUGAUGACAGAGAGUAAAAGAUGGUCCUGUCCGACAAAUAGCAUUGGUGCUGUUUUGCUAACAAGUACCGAACUGCUUUGUUCAGACCAAAAACAAAAAAUAAUCAAUCUGCUUUGUUCUCUACAGAAAUUGAUUAUAAAAGCUGAAAUGGUAAAAAAAAAAAAGUUGUUUCCCUUAAGUCAUGAAAAGAAGAAAUAUUGUUUUUGGUUCCGUUUGAUUUAUCAAUCAAUAUGGCCUGAAUCAAUAUGACCACUGAGAUAAUCAUCCAAAUCCAGAGAUAUGCAUGGUCGUCGCCCUCGUAUUAGAGAGGGUUGUGUGCAUGCUCAUAGGCUUACUUACAGUCCAAUUGACCUCACCAAAGUGAUAGAUUCCUUUCCCAAAAUCUUUUUGUGAAUAUGAAUAACAUAUUUCUUGAUGAUUUUUUUAUAGAUGCAACAGUAAAAAAUCUGUCGGAGGAUCUCUCGCCUACAUUUUAGUUUGCAUAAAAAAUGUGAAGUUUGGUUUACAUUUAAUGUAUACGAUUAUGGAUGUGGAUCUAUCGAUCUGUGUAUGUCAUUUUGAUGAUUCUUGGACGAGUGACGGUGCAACUAGUGGUUCUUGAUGGAUUAAUGGCACAUCCAGUUUAUUGGGUGAAAUCUCAACACCUUCAUCUUUAAACUCCAUAAAUGAUUUGGACAAUGAAAUGUCAACAACAUAAUCACGAUUUAUUUAUAUUUUGUGAAGGUUUUUAUAUGAUGACUUCUGCACCAAAGUUACAUGAAUUAGCCAUGAUUAUUAAGUUUUUAUCUAAAAGUUACAUGAAUUAGCCAUGAUUAUUAAGUUUUUAUCUAAAAGUUACAUGAAUUAGCCAUGAUUAUUAAGCUUUUAUCUAAAAGUUACAUGAAUUAGCCAUGAUUAUUAAGCUUUUAUCUAAAAGUUACAUGAAUUAGCCAGGAUUAUAAGUUUUUAUCUAAAAAUGAGUUAAUUCGUCAAUUACAUAUACAAACAACGUUUAGGCAGAUUUCGUUGCUUCAAUAAUUAAAACGUUUAAAUUCUAUUUCGUUGCUUCAAUAAUUUAAAACGUUUAUUCUCUUUAGUAACUUUAGUUGUGAUGCAUCGAACUUUGUUUGUAUAAUAAAGUUGCAUAUGCUUGUUGACACAAUAUUCUCAGUUUUCUAGCAUUGAUAAGCAUUUGUAGACGAUCAAAGAACCAUGUAGGAUACAAAUUAGUUGUCAAUAAUCUAAAAUACAAGUUAUAAUGACUUUGUACCUUACAAUCUUACACCACUUAUACAUUACAAUUCUGUUGGUCCAAACCACCUAAGAAAGAAAAAAAGAAAAGAUGAAGAUCGUUAUACCAAACAAAAAAAAACCCGCCAAUUUUCUAAAUUAACCCUUUUUAUUAGUAAAGUUUUCUAAAAAUCAACUUUUUUUUUGUCAACAACUAAAACCAAUCUUAGUCAAAUUUUUGAGUUAUCCAAAAGAAGUCGACAUUUUCGUUAGUUCCAAAAUAGCUCAAACUUUAGAGUUAUCUAAUUUUUUUGAUGAUACUACGUAACAAGUUUAACAUUCAAAAAUUACUCUAAUCGAAACAAACUUGAAAGAAAAAAACUGCUGUGGAAAUAAAUAAUACGCGUUAUCUUGAAAAAAAUAGGAAAACUAAACGCGCGAUUUGGUCAAUGUGGUCGUGGAUGGGUCACCUAAUCUUUUUAAUUUCCCUCUAAAAAAAGAAGAAAUAAAUUUUCUCCCAAUUUCCUCGAAGAAGAACAUUAGAAAAUAAAAUGUCAGGAACUGAAAAAAACUACGAAACCAAUCAGAUUCGGCCAUUUCUUUCCCUCUUUUCUUUUUUCUCCCAAUCACUCUUCAGAUUCCGAAAAAAAAAGCAAACAAAGAAAGAAAAAAUAGAUUCUUUAUCACCGGAGUUUUCACCGGACUCUUAAAAGAUGAAUACGCCGAACUGGGAACUCCGGAGUUGCUGUAACCGAAACCAGAACACGUUCCUCAUCACCAUCGGAAUCUUCACCGUCGUUAUCCUUGUGGUUAGUUUUUCCCAUCUAAUGUCCUUGAGAGAAAGAGUUUAAAGUUUUGACCUUUACUUGUUUUCUUCGAUUCAAAUUGAAGAUCCGACAAAUUUUUUUGUAAAAGUUAGUUUAAAGGGUAUCUCGAUUGUAGUGUUUUAUGCAACUGUUGACUUAUAAUUUCAUUCAAAGUUUGUGACUUUUGGCAUCAUAAAGUUUCUAUAUUUGUUCUUGUUUCUUAAGAUCUUCACAGAGAUUUCUUGGUUUUGUUUUUAACAGCUAUGGAGGACAUUUCUAUUGACUCCAUUUAAACUAAUCACGGUGUUUUUGCACGAAGCGAGUCAUGCUGUUGCUUGCAAGCUCACAUGUGGAGAUGUAAGGAAGCUCUCUCACUUCAACUACUACUUCAAUGAAACUAAAAAAGGUUACAAAACUGAUUUUAGGUGUAAACCCUUAAUUCAGUUUGUAAACUUGAAUUGUCCUUUUGAUUUGUUAAAUUAUACUGGUUGAUUUGUGAUCCACUUUGCGAGCAUAACAUCUCUUUAGAUAUGCACAUUUACCAGUCGAAAGGUUUGCUUUAGCAUUGAUGUCUCUGCAUUUUCUCUGGACAUGACUGUUUAGCAUAGAGUGGAUUUUAGCAUCUUGAUUCAGUUUGCAAACAUAAACCGUCUGCUUCGAUAUGGAAAAAUACACUUGGAACUCAGACUAAUUUUAGGUUCCUUGAAAGUUUAAAUGCGGUCGGGGUUCGCUUUGAAUAGGCAGAGAAGAUGUUUUUGUUAUCAUCCACUACUCGCAUGGCUUUCUUUAGCAACAAUACCUUGUGUAGAUUGCUUUAGCAAUGUUUGUCUUUGGAUAUGGCUGUUUAGCACGAUCGUAAAGUUGGCAUCUUGAUGUCGAGUUACGAUAUCCUUAUUUAUUGUGCCAUUCGCUAUAUUCCUCAUUUGGUAAACAUUGUUUUAUCCUCACUUGUAUAUGAUUCUCGCUCUAUUGCUAAUAUGUAAACUACUAAUAUACGAAUAUACGUCAUUAGUCUAAGAAGCCAAGACACACAGUUAGCUCAAACCUUAGCUUUAGGUCGACCGUAGCGUAGGACUAAAUGUUAACAGAUUAUAGCUGGCUGCUGGUCUGAGUUUGUGAGAAAGCAGUUAGUGAAAGCGAAAUCUGUAAAGAUGUCUCUGCAGAUUGUUAAGGCUGUAGAAUUUAUAGAAUUUGAUUGGGAUUCCGGAUGAAAGCCUUUUCAUUAAUAAGUUUCUCUAGUUGGUGAGUGUUAUAAGAAUAGCAGUGUACAGCUUAGCUCUUAUCAUAGUUCCAAUAAUGCAGAAAAGAUAGUAGAUAAGUUACACCGCUCAGCCCAAAAAAAAUCUUUGAUUAUGUAUUGAUUGCACAUUAUUUUCAUCAAAUGCGUGCAACAUUCUCUAUGUUAAUCUGCAACUUCAUUUUUUCAGUUUGCACUUUGCACAGUCGCAUAUAAUAUGGAUAUUGUGUGCCUAAAAACAAAUGUGGCUAAUUUUUGUUUGAACUUAAUCUUCUUCGUAUUGAAUCAAAAAGGUGGAGGGGAUGGAGGUGAAUGCAAAUGAAGGAGGUUCCACAACAACACGUGGCGGCAUCUAUUGGCUGAUCUUACCUGCUGGCUGUAAUAUACAAUCUGUCUAUCUCCCUUAAACAAAUCAACCAUUUUCAAAUUUGGACCUUCCAUUGUUGAUGGCUAAAAGUGUUACAUAUAUAUUUGUUGUAAUGGUUAUAGAUCUUGGCUCAUCAUUUUGGGGAAUGGCUUUGAUUCUUGCAUCUACUAAUCUGCUUACAGCAAGAAUAGCUGCUGCUGGUCUCGGUCUUGCUUUAUUCAUCGUCCUCUUCAUUGCCAAAAACGUAAGUAGAAUUCAUUUUUAUCUCAUUGAGGCAUUGACAUCAAACCAAUGACAUCCAAAUUUUCAACCUUGACAGUGGACGCUUCGAGGUCUUUGUAUAGGUGUGCUAUCUCACGGUUCUUCUUGUUAAAUUUUUCAUUUUUUAGUUCUCAAAAUGAUAGUUGACAAAAAGAUUCUAACAAUCAGUGAAAAAGUCUCUCAGGUUUCAUAGUUUUCCUCGCUAUCAUAUGGGUUCUACAAGAGUUAACUACAGUAAAAAUUCUCCGUUAUGUCAUUCUGUUCAUCGGUAAAUGAACCUCAUUUUGUUCAGUCUUGUUAACAUGUUUGAGUUUCAUCUUCUCCGUAUGAAAGCCAGAUUCUUGAUAUUGCAGGUGUGAUGAAUAGCUUAUUCUCAGUUUACGGUAUGUGUUUCCUUUUCUCUCCCAAUAACUUCACUUAAAGUUAUGAACUUAUGAACAAGAAAGAAGCCUCAUUUGGUUUUGUUCUGCAAUGGCUAUUAGAUAUCUACGAUGAUCUGAUAUCGCGAAGAGUCCAUUCAAGUGAUGCUGAGAAGUUUGCAGAGAUCUGUCCUUGCUGUACUGGUUGUGGCUGGGGUGUCAUAUGGUGAGACUUUAAUCCAAUUUUACACACAAAAAACAACAAAUCUUUGUUUUUUCUUUGUUUCUGACCAAAAAUGGUUUUGAUUUUUCAGGGGAAUGAUAUCUUUUGCGUUUCUUUGCGCAUCAUUGUAUCUUGGGCUAGUGAUCCUAUCAUAAAAAGGUGUUCUUUUGGUUUUGGCUUUCUUGUUUUUUGUUAAGCACAUUUUUGCUUUUGAAUUUUGAUUAAGCGUUUUCAUGAUUUUUGUGAAUUUUUGGUGUCUCUCAGGUUUCAAAUUCUUUCCAGUGAACUGCGGAGUCUCCUUUCUUUCAUCUAUGCGCAGUUUUUUAACAGAAAACAUUUUUUUGAUUAAAAAGCUUGAUUCUUUAGAUCCCUUUGAUGUAUUUACAUUUGAUUGAAAGUUUAGGGUUUAUCAUUUUUUUUUUAUUCAUUUUGGAGUUUGUGUUGAAUAGAAUUCAUUGAUUGUUCUGUUUUAAUGCAUUGUAAGUCCGUUGAUCUUGUCAUCAAAACAAAACUCCGUCGACUUAUUCCUGUAAAUGGUCAUAGUAUCCUCGAUUAGACUUCGUCCUUUCUUCCAAAUUGAUACUUAAACACCAAAAUCUAUUAUAUAAAGACUCAGCUGAGUCUCACAAACUUGACACAUCAGCUUUCGAAAAAAAUAAUUUUCUCAAUUCCAAAAAAAUCUAAUUUAUCAGCCAUGACACAAGUACAAAUCUAGUUUCUAUCUAGAAAAGUCAUUCUCUUACAAUAAAAAGGAAAUGCAUUGAAUUUAUAGUGUUAUUACUUUGUAAACGACACCCGAGAAAAUUGAACGAGGCUAAAAUAAAUUCAUUUUUAUAAAAUGGAGCGGCAUUCCACCUAUUUUUCAUUUUUCUCUUACGCGCUUAAAAAGCUCCAGAAAUCAGGUAUAGCGCAACUGCAGUCACGUUCAUAACCAACAUUAGAAAAGAAUUAAGGUCUUGAAAUAACAUAUCCAAAAUGCAUAUUUCUUGUGUUAAUUUUGUUUUAGUGAUUGUGGUUUUUAGUGUUUCAGAUCAGAAAGGCGAUCAAAUACAUGGAUAUAAUCACUCUACUCUACGUGUCUACGAGGAGGAAAUGAUAACCAAUCCUUCUCUCAUAGAAAGAGAGCUAGGAUCAAGCUGUAUGUAGUGUAAUUACACACUAUAUAUAUAUAUAUAUAUAUUCAUUCCUAUUUUAUGUAUAUAUAUAAGAAAAACUUUAUGUGCCAUUAAAAAAAUUAUUUCUUGUUUCCAUAUUAAUUUAGAGUUUUAUAUGAUGUUUUUUGUUGUUCGCAAAACAUUGAAAAAACCAUAAAUAGUUUGUUUAUUGCAUGCAUGAAAAAUUAUGAUAUCUUUGUAUGCGUAAUGCUCUGGUGCCUAACAAUAUUAUUAGGUUUAGAGCAGAUGAUAUAACAAACGAAGUUGAAGUUUUAGAGGCAUUUUGUCUUCUGUUCAAUUUCUGUUUAUAGUUUUCGUACAUCUUAUAUAUAUACAUAAAACUGACAUAUAGUGAAUGCUUAACUCAAUCUAAAAUCAGUUAUAAAAUUUUCUUACGUAGCGCCUUAUUUCUCUGUCACAUAGACAAAAUUCUUUGUGUAUCAGGAGAAUGUAAUGCCCAAAUUUUAUCAUAUUUACUUUAUUGACGUCCGAACUUUAUAUUUUUAUAACAAAAAAUGAAUAUUUAGAAAGAAAUUAUUGUUUUUAAUAUUUAUUACCCUAAGCAGAACUCAAAGGAUUUGAGAUGAGAUUUAAAGCUAAGCUGAAACAAACAAACGCAAUAUUUUGUAUUUUAUUGUGUGUCUUUGAGUGUACGUAUUUUGUUAAUUUUAUUUCAUUAGUAAAAAAAACAGAAAAUAUAUAAUAAACAGACAGAUAUAUGUCUUAUUUUAAAGAGAUAACAAUAGAAAGUGAUUUGCGAUUACGUAAUUCUAUCAUGAUCUAGAAAAUUUAAAUUCGCACAUAUAUAUGUAUAUAUAUUAUUGAUCAACUUAACUAUUAUAUAUAUAUAAAUUACCGCGUGUACACGCGAAGUUUUAUCUAGUUAUUGUAAUAGUUGUGUACAAAAUAUCAUGGUGUAGAAAAUAAUUGUUGUAGUUAAAAAUUCAAUAAAAAAAAUAAUCAAAUUCUAUUAUAUGGAGGAAAAAUUUCAUAUUUUGUACUCUUAUUAAAUUUCAUAAUAUUUAAAAGUAAAUUUCCAUUUUUCUUCAAAAUUACAGCGAAUAAAUCCUAACUUUUUUUGUUUGAUAGAUAAGCAAUCUUUUUUGUCUGAUGGUAUAAAGAGGUAUAUCGUUUGGAAUCUUCCGAGGUUCAUCUUGCAUUAUCUUGGUUCAUCUUCCAAUAUAUCUAUUGGUUUGUAGAUUAGGUUGAAGAAAAUGAGAAAAAUUUGUAGUAAAACCUUUCUUUGAAUAUUUCUGUUAUAACGAAUGCGAAAAAAUGAAGUUAUAAACAUAAGGAACACAACACAGAUUUAACGUGGUUUACCAACGAUGUGUUGGUUACUUCCACGAACAAAAAAACCUAUUUAUUAAGGGAGGCAAAAGGUUCAGAAAACUCUGAUGAAGGUUCUGAAUCAUAAUCGGAAUACAUCAGAAUCGGAAUACAUCAGAAUUAGGUAUCACAUAGGUAUUAUAACUACCUAGUUAACCCUAAUCAUUUUUGGACCUGUCGUUCACGCCUAUGUAACGUCCUUAAGCUGAUAGCUUCGACCCAUUACUCAAACCGACAAUCUGCAGUAAGCUUCGUAGCUUACACCUCAUCUGAAAACAACUCCGCAGCUUACACAAUCUGUAACCAACAUCUUCUACAGUUUGCUAUGUAGCUUGCACCUUCCAGAGGUCACACUUUCCGCAAGUCGCACCUUAUGGAAGUCGCACCUUACGCAAGUCGCACCUUACGCAAGUCGCACCUUACGCAAGUCGUACCUUCUGCAGGUACCUUCUGCAAGUUGCACAAUCUACAUUAUGCUCUGUAGGUCCGCACCUUCUGCAACUUGCACCUCUCACAGUCUCAGAUUUAAGGCACAUUAACAAAUCUCCACCUUGUCUUGAAUCGUCCAAACAGAUGUACCAGAUGCACUUUUACAGUGCCAGAUGUACCGAAUUUUUCAUUUGCCUCACACGUUUGAUAACACCUAAUUUUGACAUAUUUUCACCAUUGAUUUCAAAUGCUUUUUCAAAGGUUUUAAUCAGUUUUAGGAAUUUUUAUUAUGAUUUCCAUGUAUUUAUAGUUUCAAGACUUUUUUCAGGAAACUUAGGGAAAAUGAUGGCAAAAUGGAAGAAAUCCACUUUUUAAAGCUCAGAGUCAGACCGUCAGAAGUUCAGCCUCAAAUGAAGACUUUUUCAACGUCUGAUCUAGUUCAAAUUUGGAGACAAUCAAGAGGAGACAACCAGAUUUCCAUAGCACUUUACAUCACAAAGAUUCAAUUGUGCAAUCAAAAGAUACAUGGAGAACAAGCUGACCCAGUUUACCAGUCCUGGAAGACUCUCACCCGCGGCAAAAUCAUGUUUUACCUGCCCUGGAAGACUCUCACCCCCGGUGUACCUUAGGACGAGCCACAAGGCCCAACAUCAAAGCCCACUUCGCCAUUCCUCUUUAGAGAAGCCCUAAAUGAGACCUGGAAAAACUUAGGACCUAUAAAUACAUUGUUUAGCGGCUCCAAACAGGUGUGUGCUCCUGUAAUGAGAUUUUGAGCCACCAAAAUCUGUUUCUCUAGGGUUAGGCGAUGGAGAUGGGGAUUCUUCCCCAGAUCCAUUGUUCUUUCUCCUUUCAAUUCUACUAACUUUUCUGUUUCACUCUUUUGCAUUUUUCUAUGUCUUUUAUUAUUCCUUGCAUCAUGUAGAUCUGUCCCAGAGAGUCAAGUUGUUUUAAGAGUCAUCGAUGAUCAUAUAUAUCGAUUAGGAUUUCUAUAGUUCUAAACCAUAUUCUGGAUCUCAUCUCUUCUAAGUUGUUCAUAUUGCAUGAGAGUAGAUUCAUGACCUAUUUUCUGAGCCUAGGAUCGAUCAGAGCCAUGAGAGUGUUGUAUCAGAUCAUCCAUACCUAGCUUCAGAAGAACAUAGUCGCUAUAGGAGUCGAAAGCUACCCAUAGAGAAGAUGUGAGCAGACGAAUUCAAUGUCUAAUGCAUGAUCUUAUUUCUGUCAUGAGAGCGAGAGUUAAUUGUCAUAUCUAAGUGAUUAGUUGAUUAAGAUGACGAGAAUUAGUUAAUCAUACAUAUGUCUAUUGUAGUUCCAUGCAGAUUCCUAGAAACAGAUGAAGAUAAAUCGCCCGGAAGCUAAUUGUAAAUGCCACCAUACAUCGAUUAUAGUAAAUCGGAGAAGUCUAAAUUGCACCCUAUGAGUUUAAGAGUAUUUAGUUUGAGUCGAUAUGCUUGAGAUAUGCUUGAGAUAUUCUUUUAACAAUUCAUCAUGCAUUGCAUUUUAUCUCUUGUGAAUAUUAGAUUAGGUUUAGUUUAGGACUUUUAACUAAAAACCCCAAAACGUUUAUUGGUUUAUGAUUUUGCUUACUUCCCAGUUUGUUGUUUCUUGCAGAUUAGACAUUCUCCCUAUGGAUCGACACCCUAAGUUCUACAAUCUGUGCACUUUCAGAUUUUAGGGUUUUAUAAAUUUAAAACUUUCUUUAUGGACCAAUGAGCUUGUAUGAAAAACAACCCUAGGCCCGUAGCUCAUCAAAGUUUUUGGCGGCGUUGCCAGGGAGGUUCUUAGUCGCUGGAGGUCUAAACCUAGGAGGUUGAAGCCACAAAAGACAAUAUAUAUGUCGAGUUUCUGCCAAAAAAUCAUAGGAAGUAAACCAAACUCAUAAACACCCUAACUUUUUUUUUUUCUGCUUAUUCUCUCUUCUGUUUGCCCUAGUUUCAGAAAUCUUUGAAGCAUGGAUCAUCCAAGAAGAAAUCCUAACCCUGAUCGAAGGUUUUGCAACUUGUGUGAAGCUCCCUACGCAUGUGAAUCACCUUCCAGGCGUGAUUCCAAUCAUCCAGUUCGGCCAGAUCAUCCGAACCACCACCAUGGAAACUCGCGACCUCUACACCAUCGAGAUGAGCCCUUCACCUGGUGAAUCGUCGACCAUCUCAUCCUCUUUCUCAUCAGAUUAUGCACCAGAACUAUGAGGAUAAUCUGUUUAAAAUCCUGCUAAAUCGAUUGGAAGCCAAGCUGAAUCAGUUCCUUGCCUCCCAAGCCAUCAUCGAUGCUGCCCUGCGAACAAGGAUAGAUGACAUGACCGUCGACCUUAACAAAAGGUUUGAUGACCUCUCUGAGCAUGUGAAGAUACUGGAGAUCAGAUAAUCAAAGAUAAUGACGUGUCGAACCAGAGAAUGGAGUCUGUCGAAGAAGAGCAGGACAAAAACAAGUUCAACAUUCGACAAAAUGAAAGGGAGCUGCAAACCCUAACUUUCAAGAUCGAUGACUUGGAUAAGGAACUGAAUGAGAGCAAAAACCAGACCUACGACUACACAUUGGAGCUGUGGCAGGGCGUAGCUAAGGUUGAAAACAAGACAGAAGAGCUUGAUGCUACUCUAGACAAAGUUGUCUAUGCUGUAGAUGAAGUAGAAGAGAAAGUUGAAAAACUUUCUAAAGAUCAUAAGGAGUAUGAUCUGAACUCUAGAAUCAAUGAUUUGGAUACCCAAGACGUGCCUAACAACCACUGGAAGCAAGAGAACAAUAAUGGAGAAGAAGAGAUUUAAGAAGAAAGCAUAGAGAGCCGGAGGAAGCUGACCGCGGCUGCGAGUACUUCACCCGCGGCCAGAGCCACUUCCACCGCGACUCCAAGCUCCUCACCCGCGGUAGAGCAUGAUUUCUCAGAUUAGGAGAACUUCCAACCUCUUUCUGAAACCUGUUCAACUGCAGACCAACCCCUUGUGACCAGAUCUAGGUUGUUUGAUCAAGUUGUCUUCUCAAUCACUGCACAAGCAUCAAAAGAAAAGGAAGAAUCCAACACUUAUGAAUCUUGCAACAUAGUUUACACUUGUGACAAUGAGCUUCAAGAGCAAUUCUCAGAAGAUGAAGAGUAUGGUUUGUUUGUUGAAGAUCCAAACUAUGGGGACAAUUCAUCUAAUGACAACUCAGAACCAAUUACCAAGAGCAUAUCCAGAGAGAGACUGAUUGAAUUCAACAAUUUUGUGAAGUCCAUUCCUCUCUACCAUGGUUUCGACGACAUCUGGAAGCAAGGCUGCCUUCAAGUUUUUUUUUCAGAUAUAGCAAGAAGACUAAGGAGAACGUCUACACUUAUUUCAGAAGAGCCAGGUAUCUAUCUUUUCCUAGAUCAUCACCUGAUGCAGCUGUUUACAUGAUCCAUCUCAAAGAUCCCCACGAAGCCAUUGACUACACAAACAAGAUCAACAAAGAAGCACUUGAAGAGUCAAUCAAGUAGUUCAAAGCCUCCUAGAAGGAAUUUCAUUUGCCAAAGCAUGUAGAGACUACAUGAUCGGCCACUUCUUCUAUGACAGCAAAGAUUCUAUUCAAGAGAUGAAAGACUUGUUCACACACGCCCAAGAAGGUAGACCAUUUCGAAAUCUGCACAAAGUUCAAGACAAAGGUCAAUUUCUUAUAUCUUGUGAUAUUAGAGGUGAAAGAUUUCUCAAUAUUCUUUGUGAUUCUGGAGCUUGCAUUAACAUGAUGUCCAAAGCAACUGCUUUGAGACUUGGCAUUAAGCACAUUUCAAAUACCAUGACAAAGAUUAGCUUAGCAGAUGGUUCAAGUGCAACACCAAGAGGGAUAUCCCGAGAUAUUCCUCUAAGGAUUGGAGAUUGCAUUGCACCUGUCGAUCUAUACAUAGUGAAGACCAAAGAUGACUCUUAUCCACUUAUCCUUGGAUGGUCUUUCUUAGCAACUGCUGGAGCCAUCAUGGAUUGGCCCAACAGGAGAUUUUAUUUUGCAAAUAUCGACAAGGAUAUCUUCUAUCAAGCUACACCACUUAAGAGCAAAGGAGAAAAGCAGAAAGCCUAGGCCUUUGAACCAGAAGAAAUCUGGAGUGAUGAAGAACCUGCAAGACAGAAGAGAAGGAUUUCGAAAAGGACUUGUCUUAGGACAAGAUCCUAUUUGAGCUAAGUCUUUUUCUUUUGCAAGUGUAGCUAAGGACUAUAAACCAAAGCGCUUGAUGGGAGGCAACCCAUUUAGCUACUUAUUUGCUUCUGUUUAUCUUUCUUUUUCUAUUAAAGUUUUGGUUUUUUUAUUUUAGACAGGCCUUAGUAUGCCACAAAAAAAGGAAGAAAAAGAAGAAAGAGAGCUGACCGCAGCCAAAGGAGGUUCAACCGCAGCCAGCAAGCAUUUUGCCGUGGCCACGAAGCUUUGAACCGCGGCCAGCACCACUCGGCCACCCUUGGCCAUUUCCACCUCUACCUUGAUUCAAAUCCAUCCAAGUUGGAUCAAGCACCACUUCACAUCAUCCACCAUCCACCAUUCAAUAUCCUACCACCUCCACAACCACCUCAUAAUCCAUCACCACACCAGGUAAGUUUUCUUUUCCUUAAUCUUUUUAAAUUUUUUCACAUACUCUAUUUCUCAUCCUUGCCUGAUUUAUUUCAUACUGGGGACAGUGUGAUUUAAGUAUGGGGGAGGAUUUCAUCCCUUUCUAACCACUUUUUCUUGCAUGAGCCUUUGCAUUCUGCAUUUUUCUUUAAAAUUUUUCAAUUUUUUUUUCGAUUUUUCACAAAACUUUUCAAAAUUCUUUUGAGUUUCAAAAAGUGUUUUCAAAGGUCAAAUACAUUUUAAGGGAAUAAUGACAAAAUCGAUGAUGAUAACCAACCUGUUUGCUUCUACACCAAUGAUUCAUAAAAAGCUCUUUCAAGGUUUAGUAUUAGACUUGGCGGUAGCUGGAGUACUUACACUACGAAAUCCUACCAGAAGACUUCUAUUCAUGAAGAUAUUUUCUAACAGGAUAUUCUAGCUCAUCUUACUUGGACUUAAUCUUGACAUCUAAUUUUCUCAUCAAUGGUUUUAAGAAGGCAUCAUGAUAUACAUCUAGGACAUCUUUAUCUUAUUGUUACCACUCUUUGUUGUCCUAGAUGGCCAGUUCAUCUUUAGCUGGUACCUCACCUUUAACCCAAACCUUUAUGUUCUAACCUCAUGCAUUCUCUCUUAAGUAUAUAUUGACAGAUAUGUGCAAAAACGCCGUAGAGGGAGGAACAACAUAGUUUUCAGUCAUUCAUGAGAAAAACUGAAAAAGACCAGAAGGGAGUGUGCCAGAAAUCUUAUGAUUCCUCAGAAAAGCUCAUUCUUAUAAGUAAAUUUCAUGCUUUUUAAGAUUAAGUCAAAAGGCAGUUUCCCCUUUCCCAAAAAAAAAACAAAAAAAAAAAGAAGGAAAGGAAAGAAAACCAAAAGCCUAAAGAGUCUUAGAAGCCGAAAUCAUUUGAGCCAAGGCAAUAGGUAUCCACCUAAGGAGUUAUGGAUUCACAACCUAGACAAAAAAUCCAAGUCUGGGGGAACUAUAAGGAGAACCUGAAGAAAGGAGAUCAGAAAUCUUAAAGCAAAGAGAAUGUGACUGAAACAGUGGGGGCAUUUACAGUUCCAUCCUCUCUUGCUGUUUUGCAUAAUGUCUUGUCUCUCCAGAAAAAGGUAACCCUAAACACAUCAAACCUUACCAUUAAAAAGCCUUUUUGAUACCUAACCUUGAAUGCCUUGUUUGAUAUCCUUUUGAUGAGAAUCACUGAAACCUUUAAUAAAUGUUAAGAGCUAGGUGACUGGAAGUUAGUUCUAAGUGUGUGGAUUUUUGCAUGACGGAUUAACAGACUAGUUAUGUUUGUAUUUUGGUGAGAAUUUUCUAGACUUGAUCUGAUUGACGCAUUGUCCAUAAUUAAGGUCUAGAAGUAUGGUUGCUGAUAUUUUUGAGUUCCCUCUCACUUUUGUUGAAUGAUAUUUUUCCAGAUUUGAUCUUGUUUUGUUUGAGGACAAACAAAGUCUUAAGUCAAGGGGGGGGGGGGUUGAUACCACACCUGAUUUUGACCCAUUUUCACCAUUGAUUUCAAUGCUUUUUCAAAGAUUUUAAUCAUUUUUAGUAAUUUUUAUUAUGAUUUCCAUGUAUCUGUAGUUUAAAGGUUCUUUUCAGGAAACUUACGGAAAAUGAUGGAAAAAUGGAAGAAAUCUACUUUUUUAAGCUCAGAGUCAGACCGUCAGAAGUUCAGCCUCAAAUGAAGACUUUUUCAACGUCUGAUCUAGUUCAAAUUUGGAGACAAUCAAGAGGAGACAACCAGAUUUCCAUAGCACUUUACAUCACAAAGAUUCAAUUGUGCAAUCAAAAGAUACAUGGAGAACAAGCUGACCCAGUUUACCGGUCCUGGAAGACUCUCACCCGCGGCAAAAUCAUGUUUUACCUGCCCUGGAAGACUCUCACCCCCGGUGUACCUUAGGACGAGCCACAAGGCCCAACAUCAAAGCCCACUUCGCCAUUCCUCUUCAGAGAAGCCCUAAAUGAGAUCUGGAAGACCUUAGGACCUAUAAAUACAUUGUUUAGCAGCCCCAAACAAGUGUGUGCUCCUGUAAUGAGAUUUUGAGCCACCAAGCUAUGUGUUAGGCGAUGGAGAUGGGGAUUCUUCCCCAGAUCCAUUGUUCUUUCUCCUUUCUAUUCUACUAACUUUUCUGUUUCAUUCUUUUGCUUUUUUCUAUGUCUUUUAUUAUUCCUUGCAUCAUGUAGAUCUGUCCCAGAUAGUCAAGUUGUUUUAAGAGUCAUCGAUGAGCAUAUAUAUCGAUUAGGAUUUCUAUAGUUCUAAACCAUAUUCUGUAUCUCAUCUCUUCUAAGUUGUUCAUAUUUCAUGAGAGUAGAUUCAUGACCUAUUUUCUGAGCUUAGGAUCGAUCAGAGCCACGAGAGUGUUGUAUCAGAUCAUCCAUACCUAGCUUCAGAAGAACAUAGUCGCUAUAGGAGUCGAAAGCUACCUAUAUAGAAGAUGAGAGCAGACGAAUUCAAUGUCUAAUGCAUGAUCUUAUUUCUGUCAUGAGAGCGAGAGUUAAUUGUCAGAUCUAAGUGAUUAGUUGAUUAAGAUGGCGAGAAUUGGUUAAUCAUACAUAUGUCUAUUCUAGUUUCAUGCAGAUUCCCAGAAAAAGAUGAAGAUAAAUCGCCCGGAAGCUAAUUGGAAAUGCCACCAUACAUCGAUUAGAGUAAACCGGAGAAGUCUAAAUCGCACCCUAUGAGUUUAAGAGUCUUUAGUUUGAGUCGAUAUGCUUGAGAUAUUCUUUUAACAAUUCAUCCUGCAUUGCAUUUUAUCUCUUGUGAAUAUUAAAUUAGGUUUAGUUUAGGACUUUUAACCAAAAACCCCAACACGUUUAUUGGUUUAUGACUUUGCUUACGUUCCAGUUUGUUGUUUCUUGCAGAUUAGACAUCCUCUCUGUGGAUCGACACCCUAAGUUCUACAAUGUACAUCUGUGCACUUUCAGAUUUUAGGGUUUUAUACAUUUAAAUCUUCCUUUAUGGACCAAUGGGCUUGGAUGAAAAACAACCCUAGGCCUGUAGCUCAUCAACGUUCCAAAAUGCACUUUACCGUGCCGGAUGUACCAGACGUCCCUUGUAUCAGAUGUACCUGAUGCACGCUUGCCAGAUGUACCAGAAUUCCCUUCUAUCAGAUGUACUAAACGCACCAAUAUUAUGCCAGAUGUACCAGAUGCACUCUUACUGUGCUAGAUCUACUUGGUGUUAAGUAGAACAGGUGUCUCUACAGACCAGACGUCCCUUUGGACCAGAUGUUCCGUCGGACCAGACUCCACUGCGGACUAGAUGUUAUUUCAGACCAUACGCCUCUUCGGAUCGGACAUUGUUUCGGAAUAGACGUCCUUUCAGACCAGACGCCUUUUACCAGGCUCAUAUACUCCUCCAGAGCCAGAUGCCUUUCACUGGGCUCAGAUGCUCCUUCGAGCCAAACAACCCUCACCGGGUUCAGACGUUCCUUCAAGCCAAACGUCCCUUCGGACCUGUAGUGUAUGAUCCACCAUAUCUUCGAAGCCAUAUAUCUCUGUGGAUCCAACCUCAUUCCUUGUAAGCUGAUCAUGACAUGUACUACGGUGAAUAUUCUCAGAUGGUGUCAGUUCUGACAGAUCAAUUUCUGUCUGUAGCUCUUGAAUCUCUUCGUGUAGCUCAGAAUCAGUCUCGUCACGAUAUAUAUACAAAUCCACCUGCAUCUGUAACUCCACCUGCUUGUCAAAGCUACUGUUCUCUGUAGCAGCUGUGGUUAAAGGUUCAUCUUGGAACCUUCUUUCUGAAUCAACAUUAGAGAACAUGCACUUCGUUCUCCGCAGCAGCAUCUGAUUCAUCUGCUCAGAUACACCAUUCGGUUGUGAUGUAUCCGUAACUGCAUGAUGUUGGACAACUCCUUCAUCCUUGCAUAGCUGAUUGAGCUCUAAUGAACAGAAUUUCUCACCUUCCUCUGACAGAAUUUGCACCUUCUUUUCACCUAUACGACCAAAGCUCUUAUGCCACAGCUUUGUUAUAUCUUUGUGGUGAAUUUCUGAAGAUGCAACAUUCACAGAACCUGUAGCUGUGGAACCUCCACCCAUACCCUUGUGCCCUCCUCUGCUGCAGGUGAAAUCACCUUCAUCAUCCUCAUUUUCAUUCAAUGGAGCCGCAAAUCUCUAUGACAGAUAACAUCUUCAACUUUCUUUUUCAAUUUUAUCGAAAAAUGUGAGAUUAGACGCAUAUAGAAUGGGAACCAUCUCUAUAAAAACAAUAGAUUUUUUUUAUGAAGAGAUAUCUGAUGUCCAAUAUAAUUUGUUGUUAUAAUUUGUAUCUAGUUUUUUUGUUAUCAAAAUGAAUGUUCAGAUGAGAAUAUUGUAAAUUAAUUCUUAUCAUGAUAUUUUGAAUAGCAUAUGAUUUUGAUUAAUAUUAAUUAAAAUCAUUAAAUUGAAACUAUAUAAUAUUGAUAAGAACUUUAAAAUUAAUUAUCUAAUGAUACAUAAUUUUAGUUAAAUUUUAAAAUCACUUAAAAUGCAUAAACUAACAGUACCCAACUCAAUAUAUCUUGGUGAAAAGGUUCUUAUGUAAAAGUCUAAUUAUAUAAAAAUUAUAGUAAGGAAAAAGAAUGUGCGUUCUUUCAAAAAAAAAAAAAAAAAAAAAAAAGAAGAAUGUGCAGUGAGCAAUCAUAUAUUCCCUUUAAAUAGUCUCAGUACUGUCAUUUUGAGUUUACCCUCUGUCUCCCCUAUUUUUUAUAUUUACAGUUUUUUAAUAUUAGGUUUUUACUAAAAUAAAAAUUUCACAUCGUGAUUUAUCAGAUGGAUCCUAUCCAUUUCUCAAUUUAAUAAAUAAUAUUUCUUAAAACUUUUCUUGUCUUACUAUAUUCUCAGCAUUUUGUAACACUAAAUAUUUAAAAUGCAAUAUUUAUAUCUUUUUGGACUUUACAUUGAUAUAUAUAAACUUUCGAAUAUUAUUAUGUUAGAUACACAAUUUCUAACCAGAGAGGAAUUUACAUAGUAAAUAAAAUGAUAUUUAUCAUAUUUUUGUAAUUCUAUUAGAAUUAUCUACAUUUUUAUAUGUGUAAAGCUCAUAUAAUUGGUUUUGCAUUCUUAAUGAAAGUUUGUUAAUAGAACUAAUAUAAUUAUAUCAUGGAAGAAAAACUAAUAGAAUUUAUUUUUAAAAAAUGAUAUCAAUCUAUCAAUUUUAUUGGGCACUAAAACAUUUAGGGUCCUGCCAUUGACCAAUACUGUCUACCUCCCAUAUAUCUACCAUUAAGCCAAUACAAUUAUUUAAACACUUUUGUAGAGAAUUUUUUUCUACAUUUGAUAUUUAUAGAAAGACCUAAAAAGAAAUAAAAUCUAUACUUUAUCAAUAAUAUAAUUCUGAAAGGUCGUUUUGAGAUAUAUGUGAUAUAAUAUUAUAAUAUUUAAUUUAUAUAUGAUAUCUAAACUUUACCAAAUACUAAAGUUUUAUAUUUUGAUUAGUCUACAUUGAGAUUACAUAUUGUUUCAUUAAAAUAUUUUAUUUUUAUUUUAUGCUAAAUUUAUAAUCAAUAUUAGAGCAUUUAUUACUUGGUCAUAGGUUUUACUAGAGUUGAAUUUCAUAAAAUAUUAAAUUUGGUCAAAUUAAAAACAUUUGACUCAUUUAGAAUAUGUAAAGAGUAGCGAGCCAAAAGAAGUUGAACUUCUCAAAUAUAAAUUAAAUUUUCAAGCGCAAAGCUCAUGGUACAAUCAAGAAUCUGAAUAACUUUUGAAUGGCCACAUUAUUGUAUAUGAAUUACAUACAUGUAUAUGUAUGAUAGAAUAUAUAUAUAUAUAUAUGUUUUCUUGGUAGUGAAUGAGAGGAGGAAAAAAAAUAAGAGGAGAAACAAUGAGAAAAAGAAAAGUUCAUAAAAACAAAAAUCACAAAAUCAUAAAGUUUUUUCAUUCUUAUUGUUCUGCUCUUAUAUUUUUUUCCUGUCUCUCAUUCACCACCAAAAAAACACAUAUAUAUAUAUAUAUAUUUAUGUAUUUUUGUGUAGCAUUUGACCAUGCCAAUCCGAAAUGCUAAACAAAAAUAUAAUUUAUUUUUCCAGAUUACAGGCCAAGAGAUAGUAUGGAGAUAUAUAGAAGGCGAUGGUAUGAGGGUUACAAAAAUAUUCAGACUAUUAACUCAGAUUAAAAAUUCUGUGAGAAGAAAAUUCAGAUAUGAUUCCAGAAUUAUUUGUUGAGAAUCAAUCCAAAGUUCCACAUCGGAAGUUUAGACUAAUAUGGUCUAAUAUAUAAGUAAUGUCCAACUCUAAUUAGUAUGAGGUCUUUUGGGAAGGAGCCCAAAAUCAAAUCCGUGUGGGCUUUGUCAGUUGGGCCCAAAGCAAACAAUAUCAUACUAAUUGAAAAAGUUGGACAUGCGUUUUUCAAGCCCAAUAUUAUUCAGGUGAAAAUUUUCAUCACUAUUUUCAGAAUGAUAGGCUAAAGUGUAAGAGACAUUUUAUUAUUAUUGUAUCUCAAAAAACGUGGAAAUGUUACAUAAGCCUUUAACAGUCUUUUUAAAAAAAAAGCUAUAUUCAAGAUAUUUAGUUUUUUUUUUAAAUAAUAUAUAUAUAUAUAUAUAUAUAUAUACACAUAUAUAUGAUAUUUAAACUCUAUAAAUAAGAGUUUGAUAUUUCUAGUCCAGAUAAAGUAACGUUAUAAUGCUGCCCAAAAAAUAAUACUACAAAUAAUUAUUUUCUAUUAAAUUUACAUUAUAGCAUUUUUUUUUAUAACAUCUAUUUUAUUAGAUAGUAAAAAAGUAAUACAUCAUGUUUACAAGCCAUUUUGGCAAAGAUUGAAAAACAUAAUACAUAGCAUGAAAACAACAAUACAUAAAAUUAAAAACACAAAGCACUAAAUCAAAGAAGAUGAGUUUAAACGAUUUUUUUCUUCGAAUUUUUCUCGCUGAAAAAGUGUCCACACCUUCUUUCCUCGUAAUCGCAUUUGAUCUAAAGCGAUUUUUUUUUUUGCUAUGAUCCAUCUUUUCUCCUGUUGUAUGUUAUUGACACAUUUCCAAGUAAGAACUAAAAAUAUUCUAUGAAUAAGAAUCCAAUCUUUUGAUUCUUUCCAUAGAAAAAAUACUUGAAAUUGCCAAUUUUCUACGACUGUACGUAUGUCGCCAUACCACAAGGAGUUUUCAUCUUCCGCUCCAAACCCUUGUCCCCUCCAUGGUGGUUUCCAUGUUUGUUGUUCCCAUAGUAAUGCCAUAUCCGGCUGAAUAGAAUCAUCGAAGAAGAUCAAACAUAAAACCCAAAUUCGCCAAUCAUCGUUUCCAUGACUCCUAACUUCUCCUAUUCCCGGAUCAAAAACCCAAAUUACAUCUCCAAACCAUACAGUGGAGGAUAAUAAAAACUGCUGUGAGUGUUGAUUUAAUCUUGGAUCAAUUUGAGUAAAUUGGUUCAAGAAAGAAUUAAAAUCCCAACCAAAGACUUGACGAAUUAUAGCAUUUAUUAUUUGGUCAUAGGUGUUACUAUAGAUGAAUUUAAUGGAAAUGUUAUUUUUGGUCAAAUCAAAAUUAUUUAAUAUUUAUAAUAUGUAAAAAUUUGAUCCAAAAGAAGUUAAAACAUAAAUAGAAUCUCAAACCACAUGAUACAAACAAGAAUCUGAAAAAAAGUUUGGAAUCUCCAAUAUGAUAUACAUUUGCAUUAUUAAAAAAAAAUGGCACUCAUUGUUCUUCUCUCAAUGCUUUUUUUUGUUUCCUUCUCUCAUUCACCACCACGAAAACACACACACAUAUAUAUAUAUAUAUAUAUAUAAAUAUAUAUAUAUGUCAUGCAUUAUCAUUUAUCAUCUCAUCGAUCUAACUCAUGCACUCAGGAUCAUCAUCAAAAUGAUCUUCUCCCUCCAUAGCCUCUCUUGGAUUUCCGGCUUCCAUAUUCUGUUUUCCGCAGGGCUCCAUCACAUUAUGUUUCUGACUUGUCGACACUAGAUUCAUAGAAAGUGAUUGAUCAUGGUUGGUGUCAGGGGUUGAGUCCAUCAGGGUAUUAAAGGCAGAGUCAUGUCCAAUACACCUCGUCGAAAAAAGAAUAUCUUCCUUAGAAGAGCCAAAAUUUCGAACCAACAGUCAAUAUCCAUCUCAUUGACGUCAAUGUCAAAAUAAAUCAGCUCUUCGAUCGGAACAUCAUUAUCUUCCACAUAAGGAACCAAAGCCAUAUCUUCCAUAUUAGUUUCAAGGGAUUGGGUUUUAUUGGUUUCAAAAGAAGCAUGUCUUCAAGAAGAAGAAAACUUUCUUCAGAAAACAACCAAUCUAUCUGGUCUGUAUUGGUUUCGAAAAUGGUGGUCGUAUUGGUUUGAGAAGAGGUUUCAUAACUUGUUUGACCAGAAGCAAAACCGACAUGGGAAAUGACAUUUUGAGAAAGAACAUGAUUUUCUCCAGAAGAAACCAUACCCAUCUGGUUACUGAUUUCAGAGGGAAUCAUAUUUUCAGAAGCAACAUAGCCUUCUACUGAAGAAAUAUUGGUUUCAGGAACAUUUAUGUUCAUAUCAGUUUGAGGAAGAACAUAAUUUUCUAGGGUAGGAAUCCAAUCCAUCUGGUUCAUAUUGGUUUCAGAUGACUAAUGUUUUCUGUUGAUGGAACACAACCUAUUUGGUUUAUAUUGGUUUCAUGAUCGCGAAUAUUAUCGGUUGAUGGACUCCAACUUAUCUGGUCCAUAUUGGUUUCUAAAGUGUUCAUGGUAAAGUCUAGAUCUGGAAGAAAAUAACUUUCUCCCAUAAUGCACAGAUCAGCUUGAGGAACAUAAGGCUCUGGUAUAUAAAUAAAGUCUAGAUCUAGUUGGUUCCAAUCGAUUUCAAGAACAGAUGAGCUAGGUUGAAAUGGGUUAGGUUCAGACUGAGGAAUACAAAUCCCGGAAGACUCCAUCUGGAAUGCAUCUGUGUUAGAUGCACCAACACUUGAUGACAAACCAUAAAGAACAGGAGGGUUAUCACUACUUAAGCCACUAUGGUUAGAUGCACCAACACUUGAUGACAAACCAGAAAGGACAGGAGGAUUAUCACUUAAGCCACUAUGGUUAGAUUCUCCAACACUUGAUAGCAAACCAGAAAGGACAGGAGGAUUAUCACUACUUAAGAUAAUAUGGUUAACAUCAUGGAUAGAAAAAAUAUGGGAAGGUGGGUUGUUACUUGUGGCUGAAGGAGCGUAAUUGACUUCCAUAGGUGACUUGUUUAAUAGGUUACCAAAAAGUGAGUGUUUACUCAGAUCCAAUUUUCCACCUAGAUGAAACUUGGGCACCAUCUUCGCUUUGCCCUUUUCAGCAGAUUUUUUGAAUGAAUCUGCAUACAAGAAAAACAAAAAACAUUAUUGACACAAAGAUGUUGAAUUGUGAAAAGUAUAUAUAUAGUAAAAGAACAUGACUUGCAUUGGUCGAUGGAUCAGGAGGAUGCUUCCUUCUUUUUCAGAGAAUACCACUUUGUGUUACUUUCAACGAUAUUCUUUGCUAAGUUGGAUGCAUUGAAAGGAUAUUCAUAGUCUGAAGGGUAGUUGAAUGUCUUAUCUGUUGACCUCCAUUCAUUCCUCGACAACGAAUGGUUCAUUAGCUUAACUUGUGCUUUGUAUUUCUGAAACAAUUAAUUAUAGAAUAAAACAGGUUAUCAUAAGGCUAGUAAAAUUAUAUAUUGAAAAAGAGUGUAUAUAAAUGUAUAUAUGAACCUGAAGGUGGCUACCGACUUGGCAAAGAUUCAAGUCUGAGUCAUUCAUAAUGCUCAAUAUGGAUUUAGGACAAGAAUCUGUAGGAUAAAGAACUGUAAUCAAUUGGUAGAAAGAAGAAUUGGUCAAAACAAAAAAAAUCUUACCUUUUGCACCCAAUAUGGAUAUAGCUGUUAAAAAUAUCAUUUGGCGCUCCUGGAGUCAAUACAUUGCAUCGUCUUCCAAUAUUACUCUCCAUAUUUAUUCCUUCCUCUCUCUUGUUCUCAGCCUCAGUGGGAUAAACCGGUUUAGUUUUUCCUUCAUCAAUUGCUUUGCCUUUUCUCUUUUGGUAUGUUUCAGGGGUUGUAAAUGUUUUGACGAAGGGUCGUCUUCCUAACAAAGAUGACUGACUUGUUCUCUGCCUCUUUAUGGUUUCUCUAAGAGAUUCAAUCUGAUUUAGUAUAUUUUUCUCCACAACUUUCUCUUGUUGUUCAGCGAUGUUGAUUUUCUUUAACUCUUGGCUCUUCUUAGGUACCACAUGCUGCCAUAGGUUUUCGAUGUCGUUUUCAGAAAUCGGCUUCGUUAGACAAAAACGUGCACUUUUUGUCAAAAGAUCUGAUGUUUCCUUGGUAUUUAUUUCUGGACUUAUCACUUUAACAUCAAAAAAAUAGAUAAAUUAAUCUGUGGAAGAAAGUAACAAACAGUGUAAAGAGUAAGCGCAAGAAGAAUGUGUAAAUGUUUGCUUACGUAUAAGAGGAAUUUUUUUGUGAAGCAAAGCAGUGAGAAAGGAAUGUGAAUCUAUAUGAGGCAUUUCAAUGUUGGCUAUCACAAGUCCAGUAUCCUUUUGCUUUUCGAUCAUCGAUAAAGCCUCACUUGCCUUGUUCAAGCUCAUCACUAGUACAUCAAUUUAUAUAUUAAAUAUUUACAAAAUCCAAAAAAAAACAUUGUUCAAAACAAUAAUCAAGUUUCUUCCAUUUUAGUUUUAGUUAUAUAAAAAAGUUGAAAAAACAAUAGAUUAACACGCACAUUUUCGAUUAUAUAUGAUGAUUAGCUAACCUAAUACAUAAUAUAUUAUUUAUAUACAUAUUAAUAUUUGAAAGAAAUUUUUUGGGCUAGAACCAGACAUCUAACAAUCUGAUUAUCCGAUUAAAAUAUAGAAUAUAUGUAUUAAAACUCAACAAUUAUACAUCUAGGGUAUUCAAUAAAAAAUUAAUAAAAAAUUAGAGUUCAAAUAUUUUAUUAAAUUCUUUCUUAUCGAUUUUUAUUUAUUUACAAAAAAAUAUUUUAAAAGAGAAAUUUAUAUGCGUAUUAUCAAUUAUAUUUGAUGAUCGACUAAUCUAAUACAUAAUACAUUAUAUAUAUAUAUAUAAAUAUUUGAAAACUUUUUCCAGCUAAUACCAAACAUUCGAAAUCAUGUUAAGAAAUCAUUUCUAAAUAACAUCAGUUAUCAAAAUCUCAUAUAUAUUCCACAAAAUAUAGAUUAUACUAAAAUUUAAUGGUUUUUACAAAAUAGUAUCCAAUAUCUAUGACAUAUUAUUAUCCAAACUAAUAAUCGUAGGUGAUUAGGAUUUUCAACAAAAGGGUUGUAAGAAAAUCAUCUUCAAAACUGAGAUCCAAGACCAAUCAGUAGCCUAUAGCUUUAAUAUUCUGUAAAUUAAAUUAUAAAUUAUAAUUUUCUAUGCGAAUUCACAUUUCUUCAAAUUUGUUCAGAGAUCCUGAUUUAUACAAUGUAGAAAUCUCAAGAUCUAGAGACGUUGAAUUAUAAUCAUCAGGAAAAUAUUCAGCAAAUGCUAAAAUUUACCAUACCAAAUGUAACAAAUUAGAAUAAUACCGUUGAUAUGUAAAUGGAAAAAUGAUCAACAUCAAUAUAAAUGGUAAACAAUUUUUUUUUACCUUUAUACGAAAAUUGCUUAAGCAUUGAAGUGAGAAAUUCAAUUGAUGUAGUGUCAUUAUCGAUUAGCAGAACUGAAAUAUCACCAAUGCGUUCAGGAACUAUGUUUCCAGCCAAAUUUACGGUCAACUUUUCAGUCAUAUUUUCAAAAAUAUAUGAUAUGAAGGUUUGAAAUAAUAACCGAGUUAAGGGGAAAUAAGCUAUUGCAUGGACGUAUAUAAAAGAAAGAAUAGAAAUUGUAGACCCAACAAGGUCAUAAAUUGCAAACAACACCAGAUGAAGAAAACUAUUUUAAUUUCUAUCAAAUAUAUUUCAUUUCAUCAUUGACCCUACCUAUAAUAUAUUUUUUUAACUCUAAAAAUAUACCCAGUCUAAAGUAUAAUCUAUUAGUUUAUAUAAUUCAAAAUCUUAUCAAACACAUGGUAAAUGAUAUUAUAGCAUUGGUAGUGAUAAAUAUAAUUAUUUUGGGAAUAUUAUAGUGUUUCUUGACCGAUAUAAUUUGAGAAUUUACACGAUAGUCAUCGACUUAAAAAUCCAUAUAUAGUUAGUUGUUAUUUCAUUUAUAAAUUUUGACUAGAAAUAUACAAUUAGUUCAUUUUUUAUACAAUGUUUUAGAAAAUGAUUAAUUAAUUAACAAAAAGUAAACAUAGAAAAUUUUUGUAUAUGCAUAAAAGAUUUUUCAUAGAAAAAUUUGGUGGAAUUAUGUUUUCUCUUUUUUCUUAUAAUUAGAUAAUAUUUUUAUUUCAGUCAGGAAAAAAUGUAGCUACAGAUGUGUUUUAGAUUUAUGGAAGCGUAAAAUAUUCUUAAUAUGUAAAGUAAUAUAAGUUCUCUAUAUAUUACACAAAAUAUAAUUCAAAUUUUGUUAAUAGUUUUGAUAUCAAAAGUUAUUCAUGCAUGCGUUUUACAAUUCGAUCCUUACCUUAUUUCGAGUACAAUAGGCAUGUGACUGGUCAAGUUUUUAAACUCUUAAGUAACUUCCAUAAUUACGUAGAAACUCAAAAAAAUUCAAGAAUAGAAUAAGGUUCAUCUUUUUAUAAAUGUUUAAUUUGAAACGUAUGCUAACACUUUAAAAUAAAGUAUUGAUAAUUAUAUGUUGUGAUGUUGUGUAAUGUAUAACUAAUGCUCGUUUAGUAGUGAACUCGUGAUCAAUGAUGGACUCCAGCUACAAGUUUGUUUUCCUUCCGAUCUGUUCACUACACUACAAGAAAGAAGACCUUUUAUAUUGGAAGAUAUCGACGUAAAAUCGACGUAAUGGGCCAUUUACGUCAAAUUAGUGACGAAUGAAAAAUUAUCGUAAAACAAUCAUCGUAAAAGAGAAAUCGUCGUAAAAUCUUCGUAAAUUACCAACACAAUAAAAUCGUCAGAAACAAUUCGUCGCAAAAACGACGUAAACGUUCCAACGAAAGUACGACGAAUUAAUUUUAACACAACAACGACGUAAAAUCGAUGUAAAAUUACAUCGGAUUUACAACAAUUUCGAGACGAUCUAUUUCGCAAAAGUCAAAUAAAUUUAUUAUAGAUCGACGUAAAAUCGUCGUAAUAUAUCGACGUAAAGUCGACAAAAAGUAUAUGGACGUUUUAAAAUAUUUGCCUUUAAUUAGACGUAAAUUUACGACGAGUUUACGUCGAAUUAGAAAAAUAAUUAUUAAAAUUGGAUUUUAAUUUAAUUAUUGAAUUUUUAAAAUAAUCAAAUAAAGGAAAAUUUAAAUUUAAAUUCGAAAAUAAUUCAUAAAUUAAAAUACAAAAUUAAAUACAAUUUAAAAAAAAUAAAAACUAAUCUACACAGUAAAUUCAUAAUCGUCGAGGUUGAGAUCGACGUCUCGAGGAGGCUCUCCGUCAUGUCCGUCCGUCGCUGUUGUACCAUCGUUUCCCGUCUGCACUACGGGAUCCGAAGUCUGACCCUGCGUCUGCUGGUCAGAAGGUCCACCCGCAAUAAUCCUGUGUGCUCGCCGUUGCCUCUCUCGAAAGUGGAUCGUGAAUAUUUCUAAUCCGUUUUUGAAGUCUUCAGUCAAUGACCCAUCAACAUUUUUGGGCGUAUACAUCCACUUUCGUAGAUCGUAUAUAGACAUUUAAAAACAAAUAAAUGACUUUUUGUUUUUGAAUUUUGAUAUAAAUUUCAACUACUAAAAAUUUUACUCAAACAUUCAAAGACUCAAAAAAUUGUGUCUUUAUAUGUUUUUUUGGUUGAUGGAAUAAUGAGAGAAGAAAUGGUAUAUAUAGAUUUUUUGUUUGGUUACCAACAUAUUGCCAUUGAAUAUUAACAUCAAAUUUACGUCGAAAUAAAAUUUACAUUAUAUUUACAUCGAUAUUACGUCAACUACAAGAUGGAGGCCAAUUCAUCGUAUUAUCGAUGUAAAAUUUACGACAAUGUUACGACGAAAUGUAAUUCGUUCUUUAUUCGUCAUAAUGUUGUCGUAAGUUUAUGACGAUUUUACGAGAAUACUAUUUUAUAUCGAAACGACGAAAUAUUUUGACGUCGUACGUAAUUUCGUCGUAAAUUUACUACGACCAUAAAUCGACGUAAAAAAUUCGUUGGAAAUGUCCCUCUUUCUUGUACUAUACAAGGAUUCAUAAAUAAUGAAGCUGUUUUGUUCGGUGAGUGCAUUAAUGUGAGUUAUACAAAAUUUACAUUGGUUACAAAAUUAGGAGACCAUCUCCAUCGGUUUGUUAGGUAAUUUAGAUAAUAAUAAAAAUUAAGAAAUGAUUAAAAAGUUAACAAUUCGGGUUGUUAGGUUGUUGUGGAAGAACCCAGGAAUAUAUAAAAACGUGGCACCAUGUCAUUGGUGGAAGAUUUUUUAUGUGUGUGGGCUAAAAAUCAGGAAUAAGCCCACAUAAAAAUUCUUAAUUUUUUUAAUUAAAAAUUCAUAAUUAAAAAAAUUUUAAGAAACCCAAUCCCAGGUUUAGGGAUGGAGAUGUUUUGCGUGAGUACAUUUUCUCUUUCUUAUAUAAAGUGGAUCCACCAUAACUCCUAAACUAAAUGAGACACACGAUGAGGCCGCAUACAGUGUGGAGAAGGUACACAAAUUCCGCAUUAUCGUUAUAAAAGCUAUGCGAAGUCUUUAAAAAUUAUCUACCGUUCUAAUAACUAACUAAAGUAAUCACGAGAAAUAGUAGUUGGAUAACAAGAUUUUUUUUGUCUUUCUGCUAAGGGCGAAAAAAGUAAUGUAACCUGAGCUCUUUUGCAUCUCUUCUCCGGCGAUGCCGACAGCGUCGGUCUCAUCCUCUUCUCCUCAUGGGGUAGAAAAAACAACCCAAAAAAUCUCCACCAUCCAAACCCUUGUGCCCUCCUCUGCCGCAGGUGAAAUAACCUUCACCAUCUUUGUUUUCACUCAAUGAAGCCGCAAAUCCCUUUGCUCACUCAGUGGCGGGGGAUCCUUCGUCUCUAGCACAGCAAAUCCUUACUGAUUCUGAUUCUCUAGCCUCGACUGACAGCAACUCUCGCUCAGAUCCAAUUGUGAUAGUUCCUGCAACAGUCCAAGCCCCCAAAUAUCAUUUAUGUAAAAGUUGUUGAGACAACAGAUCCAGAACUGAAGAACUCAUCAGUAGAGGCACCAAUUGUCCCGACAAUCCCUGCCUCUGAAUCUGUUUCCGUGAAAUAGUCUUUGGCUGCAGUUCCGGAAAUCCUAAAAAGUUCAAAACCCACUGUGAGUGAUUUGUGGUCAGGAUUAUUCAAAGGUGCUACGAAGCAACUGCAGAAGAAAGGCACAACUUUUACCUUCCCAUCCGAUGAAGCUUAUGUGAAGAUUCUCAAAUAUGUAAUCGAAAAGAACAAAAAAUCCUGGGAAAGUUUCAUCUGUGGGCAAUUAUACACAGAUACGCCCUCCCAGAAAACUGUUCAUAACAUCGUGAAUGGAAUUUGGAGUAAGCAUUUCUGUGAUAUUACAGUAUCAAAGAUAGAGGGCAAUACCUACCUUUUUCAGGAUACCAAAUCCUUCCACUCGACAAUGGGUUUUAACUCAGAGAUUAUGGCAGAUAGAAGGUAAAACGAUGUUUGUCACGAAUUAGGAGUCUGGCUUUGUUCCAUUGAAGCCCGAGCUCUCGUUGUCCCCUAUUUUGCUGAACUAAGAAAUGUUCCUCUACAGUUCUUCAAUGAAGACGGCUUUGAACACAUUGCGGGAUUUGUUGGAGAGCCAAAAUGUCUCCAGCCUAUAACUGCAAACAAGACAAAUCUGUAAGUAACGAAGGUAUUCACGAUAACUGAUCCUCGUAAACCUCUUUCAGAAGUUGUCAAUAUCCAAUUUGAUUCUGGAGAGAUCAAUAGAGUUUUAGUGUCCAGUCUGUGGAUGCCACCACUGUUUUAGUUCUGUAAGAGGUGAAUCAUCAUCUGAGGCAGUGCAAUGAAGCUCCAAUCUUUUGCAAGAAGUGCAACUCAAAAAUUCACGUGGAAGAGAAUUAUGCAAGAACCGUCCUACCUGAACAAAAUAAUCCAAACUCCCAUAGAAACAGAGCCAAGGGAUUAGCUGGAAAUACUUAGAAGUGGGUUAAAGUUGCUGAGAAAUCAUCUGCCAAAUCUGUCAAGUUUACUGAGUCUUCACUGGGGAAAGAAAACAAAUCUUCAAAGGGAGAGUUCAGUGGCGCUGUGGUCUGGUACAUCUUCAAGGGAAGAUCGACGAAAAUGUUAAAGGUCCUCCUAUCCCUGACACAAAAAAAUCAUCAGGAGUGGAAUCAGAUUCUUCGGACGUUGCUUUUGUGGACUUCAGCAAUGUUGUAAACCUGCAGGGUGAGCAGAGUGAGUUCGCAGAGGUAGUUUCAAAAAAGAAGAAGAAGGAUAAGAGGGACAAGAGCCCCAACAAAAGCAGCUUAAUAAAUGGUUGAAGAAAAACAAACCGUUUUAUGAGAGUAUUAUAGAAACCCAUGUGAAACAGCCUAAAUGUAGGAAUUUCAUUAAUAGAUCGCUUCCCGGCUGGUCUUUUGAACAGAAUUAUGAUUUCUCCAUUUAACAAGUGUAAAGGCUGUUGUGGUGGCUAAGUCUUUGCAGAUGAUCACCUACAAAGUUAUGUUUCCUGAUGUGCAGCAGUGGGUUAUUUUGUCAGUGAUGUAUGUUUCUACAGUUGAGACUCUGAAAAAGGAUCUUUGGGCAGAGCUGAUUGUUUUGUCUUCAAGCCAGACUGUUGAAGAAAAAGAAUGGAUGGUCAUUGAGGAAUUUAAUCAAGUUCUCCAUCUACAUGAGCAUUCAAGAGCUAUUACUCUUAAUGUGGAUAGGAGGACAAGAGAAUUCAGGCAGUGUUUGUUGUCGGCUGAGGUGUCAGAUUUGAACUACUGAGGAAACACAUUUACUUGGUGGAAUAAAUGUAGUGCCAGGCCAACUGUGAAGAAGUUGGACCACAUUCUUGUAAAUGAGGUUUGAUCUACUUUUUUCCCCUCUUCAUAUGCAAUAUGUGGAGAGCAUGGUUUUUCAGACUAUGCUUCUUGUGUUGUCGUCUUGGAGUUGGGUUCUCAAAGGCAGAGGAGACCUUUUAAAUUCUACAAAUUUUGCCUCCAGAACCAAGACUUUUACCCUCUGGUUUGUGAACAUUGGUUCUCAUGUAACAUGGUGGAAUCAGCAAUGUUAUGUCUCUCAAGGAAGCUUAAGCUUCUGAAAAAUGUCAUAUGUAGAUUCAGUAGAGAUAAUUUCUAGGAUUCAGAGAAAAGAGUUAUUGAAGCUCAUGAGAAGCUUUUGCUUUGCCAGUCUUAGACUCUAACUGAUCUGUCUCGAACAAAUGCAAAACUGGCGUUUGAAGCACAAAGAAAGUGGCAGAUCCUGGCAAGUGCUGAAGAGUCCCUUUUCUGCCAGAGAUCAAGUGUAACCUGACUUAAAGAAGGUGAUUGUAACACUUCUUAUUAUCACAGAAUGACUGCAUCUAGGAAAGCCAUAAAUCACAUUCACUUCCUUAUUGCACCAGAUGGAGAACAUUUUGAAUAUCAAACAGGAGUUUAAGAGCAUUGUGUUGAUUAUUUCUCACACUUUAUGGGUUGUGAGGUUGGUCCCCAGAUGCUGAUCUAGUCGGAUAUGGAGCUCCUCCUUCCAUUUUGAUGCUCUCAGGCCCAAAAAGAGAGUAUGAUAAAGAGCUUCUCGAAGGAGGAAAUCAAACACCUGCUUUUCUCAUUGCCAAAAAACAAAACCAGUGGACCUAAUGGGUAUUCCGCUGAGUUUUUCACCUGUUACUGGAGUAUUGUAGGGCUGAGGUAUGUGAGGCAGUUGAAGAAUUCUUCCGAUUUGGAAAGCUGCUUCAGCAAUGGAACACUACAACUUUGAUCCUCAUUCUCAAUAUCACAAACGCCUCUUCAACAUCUGAUUUCAGGCCAAUAUCCUGUCUCAACACUAUUUACAAAGUCAUAUUCAAGUUAUUGGCAACCAGAUUUCAGAAGAUCCUGUCUCAGGUAAUAUAUCCCUCUUAAUAGGUUUUCAUGCCAGGUAGGCUGCUUGCAGAAAACGUUCUACUGGCUACGAAAAUUAUGCAUGGCUAUAACUGGAGGAACAUCGAUUCCAGAGCAAUGCUUAAGGUGGAUCUUAGAAAGGCAUUUGAUUCAGUAAGAUGGGACUUUGUCCUCUUGACCUUAAAAGCGUUGGAGUUAUCAGAAAUAUUUGUUAAAUGUAUCAGUCAGUGCAUCACAACUCCCUCGUUUACAAUUUCAGUUAAUGAUAUCACCAGAUGCUACUUCAAAAGCGCAAAAGGAUUAAGGCAAAAAGACCCUCUCUCUCCUUACCAUUUUUCCUUGCAACGGAGGCCUUCUCAGGAUUUUCCACUCUAGAUUUGAGGCUGGGUAUAUCCAUUACCAUCCCAAGACGGCAGAACGGAACAUAUCUCACCUGAUAUUUGCAGAGGACGUGAUGAUUUUUUUUAUGGUGGGAGUUCAUCGUUACACAGCAUAACUGAAGGAUUAGAAAACUUUGCGUCUUGGUCAGGAUUGCACAUGAACAGAGACAAGACUCAACUAUUUCAGGCAUGAGUAAACCACAUUGAAUCCACUGCAAUGGCAAGCUAUGAAUUCACUGUAGGUUCACUAUCAAUCCAAUACUUGGGUCUUCCCCUUAUGCAUCGUAAACUGAGACUCUCUAAGUAUGACCUCCUUUUGGAGAAGCUUGCUAAUAUAUUCAGAUCUUGGGCUGUUACAACCCUCUCAUUCCCAGGGAGAGCUCAGCUGAUUGCUUCAGUGAUAUUAGGAACCGUCAACUUCUAGAUUUCCACGUUUAUGCUCCCCAAAGGUUGUAUUAAAAAUUGAAUCUCUGUGUGCUAGGUUAUUGUGGUCUGGUAGUAUUGUGACAAGAUGAGGAGUAAAAGUAGCAUGGUUUACUGUGUGUUUGCCUAACUCUGAAGGAGGUCUGGGCCUGAGAAAAUUUUCUGUGUGGAACAAGACGCUAUGUCUGCGGUUCAUUUGGUUACUAUGCUCUGAAAGUGGAUAUCUCUAGGCUGAAUGGCAUAUCAGAGCUUCUGGUUGGUGGAGGCAUAUUCAGCUGAUUCAUGGACGUGGAAAUCUCUAUUGGAUCUUAGACCAUUGGCUGAAAUGCUCUUAGGAAAUCUGUUGGAAAUGGACGAAAAACAAAUUUUUGGUUGGAUUUUUGGACACCUCUUGGUCCACUAAUUAAACUUCUGGGUAAUGAUGGCCCGAGAAAUAUCAGGCUCCGUCUUUCUGCUAUAGUCGCAGAUACAUGCACAAUGGAGACUUGGAGAAUCCCAUCGCCAAGAUCUGUAGCACAGCUGAGUCUCCAUAUGCACCUAACGACUAUCAACUUACCUUCUUCCUCUCAGAUCGAAGAUGACUGUUUUUGGUUGGAAAAUGGUGUUAAGUGCAGCCAGUAUUCCUCCUCUAAGACUUAGGAUGAUCUAAGGCCACAACAAGGUGAAACAGUGGUCUAAGCUUGUAUGCUUUAAAGAUUGUGUUUCGAGGCAGGCUUUCAAUAUAUGGAUUGCACACUUGAAUAGGCUCCCCACUAGAGCCAGAAUAGCUUUUAGAGGAACAAAUAUAUUCACAGAUUGUUGUCUUUGUUCCAGAGACGAGGAAACGAGAGAUCAUUUGUUGUUCAGUUGUGCUUAUAGCUCGGAAAUCGGAAAUCUGGAGGCUGAUACUUACAAGGUUAGACCAUACCCAGAGUCUGUUCAUCUUGUGGUCGGAGUUGUUAUCAUGGAUAAGUAUGCGUUCUGAUGCUGCCCCUUAUACCUGAAAGGUGGUGGCUCAGGCUAUGGUUUACCACAUUUGGAUGUCAAAGAAACAAUUUGCUGCACAACUAAUAAAGGAUUCCUGCAUCCAGCAUUUUCAAGUCCAUUGAUCGUGUGACUCGAAACACCAUUACUACGAGAAGACAAAGACGUUGCUUUAGCAACUUUAAUGUCUCUUUGGCUUCAAUGAAACAAUAUAAAAUCUAAUUUACUGUGUAUUGUUCUCCUUGUUUUUUAUUUCUUUUUUGCCAAGGAAGUUUUGUAACAGGUUAGCAUCUUUUAUAACCUUCUUUUCAUUUUAAUGAUAUUAACAUUCAUAGCAAAAAAAAAAAAAAAAGAAAUGGUACUUGCAAUGUUUUACACCAUGUUUGUGUUUUAAAAAUAUUUCACACUACAUAUUCAAAGUUAUAAUGCAGGAUACAAUUUGUUUCUAGUCGAAAAGGUCAAAAAUAUCCAAAUUUUUUAUGUGGUGUUUUCAAGAAUUAUGCUUUUAAGAGAAUUUAAGAAAAUCGGACUAUUCUAUCGAGAUACUAUAACUUAUUCAACAGAAUAUCUAAAGCAUUUGUUCUGAAAGCAAGAAUUCUAGAUGCUCUUCUCCCCAUUUGUUUUUGGUCGAAUGCCACAAAAGAUGUUGAGAAUUAGGCACAAGAACCGGGUUCAAUAAGUUGACAAAUACCAAACCGAGGACCGACGUGGAAUCGUGGAGAAAAAGUUACAUUACAAUAAAGAUAAAUAAAGAAAAGGGAAGAUGACGUAAAGCUCAGAUUUGGAGCCUAACGAACUCCACGUCACCGCCUAAGUUCAUCCAUUGAAAUUUGACGGCGUCUUCUACUCUUCUAUCAUAACCCUUCGUUCUUUCAUGUGAACCACGUCACCGCCAUUCUCUUUUUUUUUUCUUUCUUAAUACAUUUCUCAAUAUGCGUCCAAUAUCAUAAAUAUAAUAUAUAUAUAUAUAUACAAUUUAACCUAUUAAGGCAUUGCAACUUGUAGUGAACUUUCAAAGGAACUUGCAUCCACAAAUUUAAACAUUUUUGCAUGUUGUAGAAUUGAACACGAAUAAUAAAGUGUGUAUUGAUGAUACACUUGUGUUACUUAUUUGACAAUUUAUUUGGUUUUCUUAGAAAAACUGAAACUGGCUUAUACAGUAUGUUUGUACACAUUUUUUGUAUUCGAAGAAAUUGGGGCAUCAUACAGUGACAUUGCUAUUAAUGUUUCUUCUAUAUCAAACCAAGUGAUAACAAAAUAUAAAAAGUAAUAAUGUUGACUUGUAAAUAAAGUAAGAAAAUUAAAUUCUGUCAUUUCAGAAGAGGAAGUAUGUCACAUGUAUAAUAGAUCAUCGAUACUUUUCAUGAGAACUUCCACAAGAAAGCCAUUGACUUCUUAUACCUUUCUCAAUUUUCCAGCUUGACCCAUUUUUUUCUUUUGAAGUUAUGAGAACUUUAUGUAUAAAAACAUUUUAGACUAGACCUCAAGAAAAUUCAGAUAUUUUUAUAAUUUGUGAAAAAAAUGUUGAAAUAAAUUGAUUGGAUUAUUUCUAUUACUAACGUUAAUCCAGUAUUAUGGUGGUCUAUAUUAUUAUUAUAGCCACCUAUACGGAAUGUUGAUGUGCCAAACAAUGGAGACACACAUUGUGUACUUGGAUUAAUGAAUAAAAUGACAUGUAUCAGUCUAUGGGACACAUAGUAAACUAGAUUAUUUCAUACCUAAAAUGCUAUAAUAUUUGAUUGAUAAAUGAUAAGAACAAAGAAAAGUUCUUGCAAGUUUGAAAAAAAAAAAGAGAAUAUCUUGACUCGUGCGGAUCUCAAACUUUUCUUUUCUAUCCUCUUCUCAAAUUAUAUUCCAAGUAAAACACGCAAUUACCAUAAGAGUUAAACAAUAUAAAAAGAGUUCUCAACUAAAUCUUCCAAAAGAGGCUUUCUCUUAUGGUUCACAUGUAAGUAUAUACUUUAAUUUACAUAAAAUUUAAUUUAACGAAUCCUAAUGAGCCUAUUUUCUGAACACGUACAAAUCAAUUUAAUGCAUAUCUUCACAUUUACACAAGAAUAAAGAAACUACACAUAUUUUUACUCCAUUGCUUCUGAAUUUAUAUAAUUCUUUCCAUUUAAUAUGAUUGAGUUUUUAUCCCUCUAACAAGGAAAAAUAUUAUAUAUAGAUACAAGGAAAGCCCAUUUCAUUAUCUAUCUUCUCUUUGAUUCAGCGAGCGAAAUAAAAACAAAAGGCCAAAAAUGGGUGCAGACGCAAUCCAAACGAACGGUCACGAUCCCGCCAAGUUAACCGCCGCGAGAGGGAUCCAACGGUUGAGAUGCGCCGUGAAGAACUACGAGUGGGGCAAACUCGGACCGGACUCACUUGUUGCGAGGCUCCACGAGGCGAAUUCAGGGGACCGAGUCGACCCGGUGGUUCCUCACGCCGAGUUGUGGAUGGGUACUCACGAGUCGGCACCGAGUUACGUUGUGAAGGAAGAAGAAUUCGGGUCGGGUCGUAAUGGAUCCGAAUGCAUGGUUACAUUGAAAUCAUGGGUUUUGGAUUAUCCGAAUUUACUCGGGUCUAGAGUCGUGGACAAAUGGGGUUGUGAUCUUCCUUUCCUCUUCAAGGUAUUAUAUUUUAAAAGUUUCCAAUUAAAACAUGUAUAUUCAAAACCUUCUUUCAAAAAAAAAAAAAAACAUGUAUAUUCAGAUUCUGUUUAUGGUAAAUCUUUUUGUUUUUCCAGUUUUGUCUCAUACAUAAUUGUUCAGGAACAAAAGUAUUAUUUAUUUGAUCCUAAGAUUCUCAUUUUGAAUAUUUUUGCUCUGUUUUGAGGAUUUUACUUUUUGACUCUGUUUUCUUAUAAAAUUUCUAAUUAAAAGUCAAAACAUAUAUAUAUAUAUAUAUAUAUAUGUAUUUUUUUGUAAUUUCAGAUUCUGUGAAUUGUCAAUUUCUCCACUUUUUAUAUUUACAUAUAUUAUAUAUACAGCCAAUUUGUCUUGUUAGAUACAUAUAUAUUUUGGCUCUGUUUUGAGGAUGAUACAUUUUAACUCUGUUUUCUCAAUUUAUAAAAAUGCAUUUCUUUUUCUCUGUGUGUUUUAAAUUUAAAACAUAAAGGUUUGAUUCUAAUGAAUAAGAGUUUGAUGUUGAAAUGUGCAAAAAAUAAAAACAGGUUUUGUCAGUGACGAAAGCAUUGUCGAUUCAAGCACAUCCAAACAAAGCCUUAGCAGAGAAAUUGCAUAGAGAAGAUCCUCUUCUUUACAGAGAUGCUAACCAUAAGCCUGAGAUUGCUCUCGCCAUUACUCCUUUUCAAGCUCUUUGUGGUUUCGUAUCUCUUAAUGUACUAGAUUCUUCACUUCUCUGCAAACAUCUAAUUUAGUCGGUUUUUGAUUUAGAUAACUUCGGUUAUUUUGCCUAUCACAUAUGCUAAAUCCAAAAUUGAACCGGUUCUGUACCACUUUUGAUAUCAAAUUCAGGAGCUGAAGGAAGCCAUCGCCAAUGUACCAGAAAUCACAGAGCUUGUCGGAAGUAAAGCAGCAGAUCAAAUCUUCAAAGUCAACGAACACGAUGGAGACGAAACAAGUGUUAAAUCCGUUGUCCGUUUGAUUUUCACGCAAUUGAUGUCUGCAAACAUCAAUGAUACAAAGCAAGUCAUAUCACAGAUGAAGAUUCGUCUGAUCUCAGAAACAAACCACCGUGAGUUAUCGGAGAAGGAGAAGUUAGUAUUGGAACUAGAGAAACAGUAUCCAGGUGACGUGGGCGUGAUCUCAGCAUUCUUCUUUAACCACGUCAAGCUUAAUCCCGGAGAGGCUUUGUAUCUUGACGCCAACGAGCCACACGCUUACAUUUCCGGCGACUGUGUUGAGUGUAUGGCGGCUUCAGACAACGUUGUUAGAGCUGGUCUCACUCCGAAACACCGCGAUGUUCAAACUCUGUGUUCUAUGCUGACCUACAAAUUGGUAACUUUCUUUACACGUUAACGUUUUUUUUGGUUUAGUUGGCUAGCAAAAUUUGGAUUGUACCCUAACCCUAACCAAAACCGAAAAUUUAUUUUUCUUUGUUUGGUUAUUGAUUAAUUGUACCGGAUUUGUUUCAGGGCUACCCGGAGAUUUUGAAAGGAUUUCCUCUGACUCCAUACAUUACGAGAUACCUUCCACCAUUUGAUGAGUUUGAAGUGGACCAUUGUGAUCUUCCUAGAGAGAAAUCCACUGUUUUUCCGGCCAUACCAGGGCCAUCGGUUUAUCUGGUUAUUGAAGGAAAAGGGACAUUGAAAACCGGUUCAUCUCAAUUGUUGGUUAAACGAGGAGAUGUUUUGUUUGUUCCGGCACAUAACGAGAUUCACGUAACCGGAGAAAGUGAUGUGAUGAAGCUUUACAGAGCUGGAGUCAGCAGCAGAUUCUUUCAAACAAUGUAGACUAAGUAAAGAUACAUAUAUAUAUAUUUAAUUUGUUAUCUAAAUGUAACCAUAGGGAUCAAGGCAUUGACGUGAUCAUAGUCAAUAUUGGUCCAUGUUCUUUAAUCCUACAAAUGUCCCAUUACGAAUCAAGGGUUCAAGGGGUUGUUUUUCUAUUAACUUUUGUUGUUUCUUCUACACCUUUAAAAUUGAAUUAUAUAUGUAAAAUGAUUAUAAAACAAUGUUUUUUUUUUUACUUUUUGCUAUUGUAGUGUAGUAACUAGUAAUUAUUCUUCCUUUACCUGUUUAAACUUUAAUUUCUAGAACUACUCUGCAAAAGCACAUUUGUUCAGUUGUAAUAUGUAGAGAUCGAACCACAGAGACGAGAAAUUCGCUCAAUAAACCUAAUAGACUCUAAUUGCGCUAAGAAGAAAUAAUGAAAUUGAGAGCAGCAAUGCAAUAAAAAACGGUUUUAAAUUCGAUGGGAAAGAAUUAGGCUCAGGGUGUUUCACAGAAAAUCAGAGAAUGCAGACAAAUCGAUUAGUCAUGAUUCAGAUUUAAGCGCAAUUCUUGAACUCAAAUCACGAAAUUAUAAUUAACUAACUUUUGUUGCGAAAAUUAUUUAAAUCUAAAUCCCAGAAUCCCAAUUUUCUUUGCAAUCCUAAAGAUAUAAAUUAGCCUUAAGUGCAGGUUCGAUAUGUUCACAAAGUGUCUAAACCAAUUUUUUUUGUGGAUAGCUACUUUGCUCAUCCUAGGUUCUUUCGGAUUAUUCAAUUACAGUUUCGUGUCAAUCAAUUAACCUAAGAUCUAAGUUCUAGGUGAUCAGUCCAAAAUUAGCUUUAAGAAUAAUCUAUGGUGAAUUACUAAUCAGAUUAUGACCCCUAACUAAUUAAUUAUCUAAAAUUCAAAGGGAUCCCUUAUGAGAACCCUAAACCUAACAAACAAACUACUCAAAUAUGGAGAUUGAAUCAAUAAACAUGAAUGAAUAGAUUGCAGAAAGCAGUAAAAAGAUUAAUAAACAGAGGUUCAAAAUCUUCUCUCAAACAAACAGAGUCUCAGACUUGUCUCCCUAAAAGCUCUCUCAAGAUCAAUAGAAAUCAAAAGUCUCAAAGAAAAUCUAGAGUGUAGCCAAAACACGUGGCUGAAAACCCUAUCAAAAGCUAAAACACAUGUUGGACUUCCCUGUAAAUAUUGGAGACUUCUGGGCUCAAGAGAUUCUUUAAAACUUAGACAAAAUCACGUUUUUCCUUAUUCACGACAUUGGUGUCGAGCAACACCAAAACAUAUAAAUCAUCUUUCACGAAUUUGAUCCCUGCUUAGUUCCAAAAUGCUCUAAAAUCUCCAAUUAAACUCCAAAUACAUUUAAGACCUGAAAAGACUCCAAAAAAUUAAAAAAACACUAAAGAGACUCUAUAAAUAAAACCUAUCAUGAUCAAAAACCAUAAAAAAAAACCAUGAUAUAUCAUUCUCCAUGAUAAGCAUUUUUCGAAUGGUCUGAGUCGAACAAAACAAUGUUCUCUAAAGUAUAAGGCCAAUUCUUUUUGCCUCCCUCGUCACUUACCUUUUGUUUGUGGCUUCCAUGGCAUAGACUAGAGAGAUGACCCCGAGAAGACCUAAUCUAGCACGCAUUUGUUUGGAUGUUGCUAAUGUUCCGUUUUAAAGUACAUAUGCAAAGAUCGUGGAAAGUAAAACGAACUCAAUCUUAAGUCUUGAGACAAUGAUUUUUGCCAAUUUUCCGGUAAGCUUUCCCGGUGAAAUCUUUCACUGGAAUGACCUGAUUAUGGAUGCGCUGGAAACUUGAGUACUAUAACGUGAUAUACUUAUAUGUCAAAAUCGAAUUUAAACUGAAUGAGAAAUGAGGAUUCUUAGAGAGUAUAGCUUGAAAGCUUAAAAAUAACAUAAGUUACCAAAUGACAAGUGUGAUUUGUCCCACAUUAGCAAUUCAACGUUACAUUUUGAACGUAGUGUUACGUUCUCCCCUUGAUAAUACUCAAUAGAUCUGCUUCUAGCCUGUCCCAACAAUCUGAUUCGGAUUGAGAAUUGCGGUUUUUGCGAACGUUGUUAAAGAUUUCCAAAAAAAAAAAUAUUUCAUUACGGCUUUUCACAUCAAAUCGGAAAAACUCUGCUUAGUUUUAACUUUUUAGGGAAUUUGAUAAAUAUUUGACAAACUUUGUGAAAAUAACUUUUGGAGUAGCAAAAUUCCGCAAAAAAAAAAAAAAAACUCAGAGUAAACUUACUGACAAAAGAAAAAAGUUUCCUCAAGUUGGUUUAGUCGCAUUCCUUUUGUCAAGCACUUAAUCCACUACAAAGACGUUUUGUUGUAAUUUAACCGAACUGAACAAUCAUUCCAAAUCUUAAUAAGCAGCUAAAGAGAGACAUUGAGAGACCAAGAUAAACCGGUUUACUUGCACCUACUUGCUGUUUGUUAAAGCUUUGGUUACAAAAUGUGAAACGAUUCCAACCGGACAGAAGAGAAGGCACAAUGAAACCGAAUGCCUCGUCUCAAUCUUAUUCUCUAGCCCAUCAUUAAAAACUUGCCUGCAGAGAAACACUCAAAACAUGAGUUAUAAGAAACAUGCUAGGAUCAAUCAGAACCUGAAAAGUGCAAUAUAGUACCUUGCAGCGAAAAGAUCUAUAACAAGAAGAUGAAUCCAAGCAGAAGCAAGAGUCAUUUCACUUGAGAACAUUUUCGCUAUUCCAGACAACUGCAAAUGAAAAAAAAAAAAAGAAAUUUUAGAAACUGGAAUGUACACAUUUUCUUGUUUUCGAUAUUUCCUGAUAAUUGGAGGAAAAAGCUAAAACCUCUGGCAACAUGUAUUUACUGGAAAACAUGUAUUUGAGAGUAUCAGGCGUCCAAGAAAGGUAUAACAAAUACGCGUAUAAUACGCCUAAGACGAUAUACGGUAUGCUACUCUCCAUACACUUUUUGGUCUGCACAAGGAGAAAACAUACACUCAAUUCAAUAUGAACUUUUUUGAUUCUGCACAAGAAGUUGUAAAACUGCUAAACAAAAACUCACAAUUUCAGCUUUUGGAGCUACAACCAUUAGAGUGUAAAAGGGUAAAACAGCGGUUGUUCCAACCGCAAAUACACUGCUUGCAAUCUGAGAAGUAGCUAUCCCUGCACAAGAACAUGUUAUGUCUCUGUCCUACUUUCAAUUUAAACAUUGAAGAGCUAUAGAUUCUAGACAUAUAUCAAGCCUCUUUUUGGUUUAUAAUGUUUCAGUUAAGAGACAUUACAUGAAGCUCGUACACCAGAGGAUUUCUUUUGAACAAGAGAGGACGAGUUCGAUGAAACAUUAGGGAAAAGUGCGAUUUUUGAUCCUCCGAUAAAGCUCCAACGAUUCUGAAGUCGAAUACUUGACGAACCAACGCAUAGUUUAGACUUGACAUUGCUGAGAGAAAGACUUGUUAUCGAGCUCUUAGCUGAAAUGUUGCGAUUCAUCAUCUGAAUCACCAAACAAAAUGAAUCAAUCUGAUGAAAUAUAAAAAACUUCUUUAUUUCUUAAAAUUUAGGAAUCUGAGACCAAAAGCACUUUGAUCUGAACAACAACGAAUCAGGAACAGAGUUAGGUUCUGUAACAGGGACCCAUGAGGAGUAAAUUCAACUUCUUUAAUGUCUGCGUCAAUUCGAUCUGAUUCAAAGGAUAAAACUUUAAGGUUACCCAUAAGGAAUCUGAACUAUUCGAAAUUGUAGAAAGCUCGACAUAAGAAUCUAAUCCGACAAUCUCCAACAACUGUACAUACAUACAUACAUACAUACAUACAUGAUACAUACAUACAUACAUACACACACAUAGAUAUAGACAUAUAUCUGCGUAUACCGAAAAUUGGAGAAGAAUUGAAAAAGGAAGAGAAAAGGUAGAUACCGAGAGAGAUGAAGAAGACAAAGGCUGGGAAAUGCAAGAAGAUAAAGCCAUCUGCGAUUCAAAUCUUCAAUAGUCUUUGCCAGAAUUUGGCCAUUCAUUACCUUCUUCAACGAGCUCUCUCCAUAUAUAUAUGUAAAGUAUCAAUUUUUAGAGAGGAGAGUUGAGAGUUUUCCACUGGUUGAAAAGGGUAAGUGGAGAAGAAGCUAAGAGAAAAAGUGCUCACUCACUCUUUCUUCAUCAGUGUGGACAAUUAUAGUUGCUCAUCCACCCGAAUUUUUUAAAAAAGUUUUGGUCUUUUUUAGUUUUCCUCGUUUACUUCUGUUUCGCAUAAACAAAAAAAAAAGAAAAAACCAUUAUGAGUUUGAGUUAAUUUUAAAGAGAAAAUCAAAUUUAAAGAUUCUUUAUAUUGUAUGUUCAAAAUUGCAAUAUAUUAUGGAAAAAAAGAGAAGAUUUUUUCCUAAUUUUAGAUAAAAACCUUUAAUAAAAAUCAAAAAAUUAUUAAGAUAUUAAUUUAACCUUAUAUUUUAGAUAUUGUUCUUUUUCUGGUCAAUAUAAAAAAUUACAGUUUACCAUUCUUAUAUAAAAAAAAAUUAAUUAGACUCAAAUGGAAUGUUUUUAUUUUUUUAACAAGAAUAUAACUUUCAUAGAACCUAAUACCCAAAAAAAAAACAUUUGACCCGACUAAAUUAAAAUUCAAGGAAAGAUUGGAGCUUUGAUCCUUUACUCGAUAAAAAAAAGGUUCUUCAUUGUAUGAUCAAAUGACUUGUCGGAUUGUAUUUGUAGGUGGCUCAUCGUAGGAUUAAUAGCUUCUCGGAUUUUGUUAUCCUUGUCUUGUGUUUUGCUUUUUCCGUGAAGAUCAAAAUUUUCUUCUAUACAUUCCUGCUAUAUAUUCCAUCAUGUUCUACCGGUUACACUUAUAAGCCUAUAAGGAUAUCUAAUCUACUUUUUUAUUUGAUAAAAACCUAAUAUCUUUGUUAAUGGAUAUUUGUGCUUAAACUGAAUUUAGACACAACACAGGUCUAGUUCAGGACAGAACAAGACAAAAGUGACAGUGCUACUUCUACUCAGCAGUGGUUGUGACUUCCUCUAAAGACAAAAGUUGGUGUUUCCACCAUUAUUUCGGUUUUGCUUUUAUUAUAUAUUUUAUUUUAAUUUAUUUUUCGCUACAUGAGAAUUGCAUUAACGAAGGACAUUAUAUAUGAAAACAAAAAAAAACAAUAAAAAGAUAUACAUACAUGUGUCUGACACUCAUUGUUUGUGAAAUCAGUUGGGAGUAAGAUAGCGCUUGAGUGGGCUAUUUGGUAUGAUAGCUUCUCUCUAUUGAUGGGCCUUAUUGACCCACCCCACUUCAGUUUUGUUUAGUCAUUCACAACAAGAAAAACAUGAAAACAAAAGCAACACUUGUCUUUUCUAUCUCUCAAUCUGUAAGUGGUAUAUGCGCAUUUCGUUGAAUUCGAUUGAGACCAAAACUCUUUUAAAACAUAAUGUAUAGUUCUUAGGAUUAUAUGGGGAAAAUAUAUGAUGUCUCAAAGAUUUUUCAUAACAUAUUAUAUUCCUUAUAAUAAAAGGUCACCUGGGGUUUUUCUAUAAACCGGGGUUUUUUUAUAAACCGCCGGCUUUUCUAUAAACCGCCGGCUUUGUCUCUGGAGAUGUUGUAUCAUCUGCCGGCUUUGUGUAAUCCGUUGGCUUUGCUCUGUAACACUAUGGUGAUCAAUAUAAUAAUAUUCAAUGAAAAAAAAAAAAGGUCACCUAAAUAAUUAAAAAUUUGAAUUUUUACGACUCAUAUUUCUAUCCUAUUCCAAAGCUAGGAAAACAACAUAAAGAGUUACAAAUUCUUACUAUAUAGUACUUCCAACAAUAUCUUUAUGUAAAUUUGUGCCAAGUCAUUUUGAGUGGAAAAUGUAGAAUAUAUGAUCCACAAGAUCCUUGAAUAUACUUGGGUAUAUAGAAAUAAAAAUGAAUAUCCGAGACUCUUAUCUACAAGCCUAUCCUUAAGAAGGCACGUCCACGAAUGUUUCUAUCACAGAUUUUCAGUGGGCCAUCAUCUAUUACUUCAAGAUAUUGUUCUAAAAAUGCAUCUCAACCUCAAGCUUACUAAUCAUGUGACAAAAGUGAUAAUGUGAAUCUAGUUUUUCAAAUAAUUUCUUUAUUCAAUGACGACUAAUCAAAGAGUUGGUAUAUUUUUGUAUUCACAGUUCUUCAACUUUGUAUAUUUUCAUAUCUUGAGCCGCAUUGUAAUUUGUUUUUUCUUAUAUGCAAAAUUCAAAAUCAAAGAUUUAUAGAACAUUACAUAUUUAUUUCAUCAGACAUUUGAGAAUCCGAUAGAAAAUGUCUCGCAAACCGGAAAACAAACGUUAAAUCCGGAAAUUAAAACAAAACUAAGGAAACCAAAAAAAAAAAAGCAGAUGAUAAAAUCAAAGGUGAGGAGGGAGAUAAAGUUUUUUUUUUUUGAUGUUUACACAAAGCAAAGAAGCAGUGAAAUUAAGCAUCGGUGAAGCUUGCUGGCUUGUAGGCGAUGAAACUGAUGCACUGGACUUGACGGGUGUUGUCGAAUCCGAUGAUCCUAAUGAAGGCCUGGGGGUACUCCUUCUUGCACUCUUGCACUUCCUUCAACACUUGAGCUGAGUCAGUGCAUCCGAACAAAGGAAGCUUCCACAUUGUCCAGUACCGUCCAUCGUAGUAUCCGGGAGUGCUUCCGUGCUCACGGUGCACAAAUGCGUUCUACAAAAACACAUUACACAAAACCAUUCAAAAACAUAAAUCAAGAUUCUGCUUAGGACCUCUAAAUAGUUAUUAACUUGAUUGCAAGAUUCAUAUGGUCCAAGAGAUCAAGCUACUCUAUAAAUGAUUUUUAUUACCUCCAACUCGAAUUCAACACAGGGAAUCCACUUGUUGCGGAGAAGGUAGUCAACUUCCUUAGCCAAUUCAACUUCGGUUAGGUCAGGAAGGUAAGAGAGAGUCUCAAACUUCUUCUUACCAAUAGGAGGCCACACCUAUUUUUUGCCAUUUUUCCAAAAUCAACAAAAACAAUAUUAGUUUAUAUGAUUCGAUAAAUCAAAAACCCAUAAAUUUGUUUUUGGUAUAAGAGAUUUGACCUGCAUGCAGUUAACUCUUCCGCCGUUGCUUGCGAUGGAAGUAAUGUCGUUGUUGGCCUUACGGGUCACAGGGAAAGCAGCGGAGGACUUAAGUCCGGUGAAAGGUGCGACCAUUGUGGCCUGAGCCGGAGAAGCGACCAUUGUAGCGGAAGAGAGCAUAGAGGAAGCCAUAUUGCCUUUACUCUUUUUGUGUGUGACUUAGGUUUGGUCUAGUGCUUUGGUCAUCUAUAUAUAAUGGUAACAACAAUGAUAACAAGGUGAGGGAGUGAUCGGAGGGCUCA
rnacentral:lncRNA from 1 species